rnacentral:lncRNA from 1 species
UUUUUUUUUUUUUUUGUUCGCAAUUAGCCAGUUUGCAUGCAUUAUAGAAGAAAGAAAGGUUCCUAUUGAGGCUGAAGUCAAGAACUUGCAAUUCAAUUGGUAUUGCUUCUUUGGCACAUGAUGUCAUCAAAUCAUUUGAUCAAAUUUGAAUCAAUUCCUAAUACCAAUUUUGGGUACAGAAAUGAUGCUAAAUCAAAAGACUAUAAGGAUAUGGUAAUAUAUCUAACUUAUGAGAAAAACUUUGAGUUCAAAUCUAAUACUAGUGGAAGGGGUUGACGUCAAAUUGAAGAAGGUGAAGGAUUUCUUGUGAAAAAUUACUAGUCAAUGUUUAUUACCACUUUUGGAUAUAGUUUUGAUUCAAAUGAUAAGGUGGUUCAUUUCUUACGAAAGAUUUUGAAUGAAGACUCAGCUCUUUGUAGUAUCAUAGUGACCAUUACAACUCUAAAUUAAAAUUUGUAUUCUAUUGGUGUGAAUAUUUAUUGCUUUAAACAAAGUAUUGAAUAAAAAAGUUGUACUAGUUGUAUUUGCAUCCUAUCUUUCCUUUGGCUUUAACAAUUUAACAAUAGGAAUUCUAUUAACUAUUUCAAUUAUGCAAAAUCACAAUACAUGAAAAAAUUCAUUCUUAUUAAAAAAAGAAAGAAAGGAAAUGCCCAAGUGGCAUUGAUGCAAUUAAUUGACAUUGAUUUAUAAAUAAACAGAGUUUAAUCUCAUAGUAUAGUAACUAUAUAUUAUAUUUCCUUCCAUCGCUAAUUUGCUUGAUAAAUGCUAUAAAUAAUCAAUGACAUGUGAUCCAUAUACACAAUUAAUACAAAAAUAUUAAGAACUAAAUGAACAAAUUUUUUAUUAUUUUGAGGAAGUAUUUUUAGAAGGUUUGAACCAAUGUUAUAGUUCUCAUCAAUAUAUUUAUUUCUUCUUUCUUUUUGUUAAUAUAAUUUUAAUACGAAACUAAAUUAACUAUAAUAAUCCAUUUUUACAUUAAGGCCCUGUUUGAUAAUCCAAUUUACCAUUUAAACUUAAUGGAUUUAGAUCUUAAUAUGUUCAGACGUAUUUGAUAACUAAAAAUAAAGUAUCUGAAUUAAUUAAGUGGCACUGAAUUUUCUAGACAAAACUUGCCUUCAAAAUUAAGUGAUAAGUUAGUUACUUAUAACUGAAUGUGAUAUACACUCAAGUGUAUUAGAUUUAAAUUUAAUAAUUUAAUGGAUUCAAACUUUAGAUUUUAGAUUUUAGUUUUAUCAAACGUACCCUAAGUUUUUUUUUUUACUUACUAUGGCAUCACUUGAUAGGUCAAUAAUCUUUUUUGAUAGCUCAUGUUAUUAUUUCUUUUCUUAACUUUUUUUUUCAUUUUUAGUCAUUUAAUCAAUGAUAUGUGCAUUUCUUCAUUUAAAUAUAGUUUAAACUUACUUUUUGCUUUCUUUAAUACUUUUAUGAGAAAACACUUUUAAUGUUAGAAAAACGUGAAUUCCUGCAGUACAAAAUUUGAAGUAGGUCAAGUCUAGCAUGAAAGUAUAGAAAAUCUUUUCAAAUAUGGAUAUGAGAUUACGGUUGAUUCCAAAGAAGAAUUUUAUGAAUAUAUACGUGGUGCUUGCAAUGGAUAGUCCGCCAUUGUAGUAAUCAAGCAAGAGAGCAUAUUAGGUAAUUGAAUAAGUGAUUAUAGCAUCAAUAUACUUUAUAUUCAGUCAAAUUUUUGGAAUAAUCUAUUCUAUAUAACUCACUUUUCACCAAAUCUGCAAGUUCUAGAUUGGGUUUCAAUUAUAUAAUCAUUUUGACAACAAAGGUUUAAAUUUUUCACAAAAAAUGCUAUUUGCUUAAAUGAUUUGUAUAGAAGGCACAAGUUUCCUUUACGACUAAUAAAUUAUUUGCUGAAUGAUUAUUUCAUGAUAUCUUCUCUAUUGGUGUUGAGCUUGUGUACCUAUUGUUGUACGGCAAUAUUUGUAGAAGUUUAAUUGAUUCUAAUAUAGCAGGCAGGAGUAUAUUUUAUUUAUUUAUCAUAUGUUUCAAUAUUUUAUAUAGAAUGGUAAGAUAUGCAUAUGUGAUUAGGCUUGAAAAGUACUCUGAACACGGUAUACAAAUGAAGUUAUAGUUGAAACUAAUGGCUAAUCCUCCACAUUUGUUUGGCAUCAAUUUGCGGGACCUAUCCCUUGAUAAUGCUGAUGAAUUGGCUUUCAUUACUAGCAUUUUAUCAGUACCACCAAUACUAGUACAUUCCUAGACAAAUUUGUAGAGAUAGUGAACUCUUCGAUCAACAAUAGAUCUGUGAAUUUAUAAAUAGACAUCGGGACAUAAUAUUUGAGAACUUGCAUAUAGAUGUUCCUACAUUCUUAUAUCUUUGUACUUUGUUGAUGGAAAGGAAUUACUUACAAGCACACUCAACUCGAAACGUGGGAAUUCAUGUGUCAAUGGCUAUUGCAUUAGUAUGUCUUAGUUAUGAUGAAUGACAUUGGGUUCUCUGUAAGCACUUUUAGCAUUUUCCAAAAACUAUUGAUCAACAUGUGAGAUGUUGUCUCAUAGCACUAGAAUGUUGUGGAUAGGAUAUAAUCAAGCUGAAAAAUUUCAGCCAAACUUAUUCACAAAUUCUAAAUAGUGCAAAAUUUUACUCCUGAUCAAAGGUUAUUCACUUAUUUGAAAAAGUACAAAAUUAGUUUAAUUGAUCAACAGUUAUACUUGUCUUAUUGGUAUAGAACUAUGUUAGGGGUAAUGUACGGGACUUAUAUGUUGACCUGGUCCCAAAUAUAGUUACAAGAUAAAUUUUGAAAUAGGAAAAGAGAUUUAUCUUUAAAAAAAUACUAUAUAUAUGUGACCAUGAUAUGAGAUUUGUGCUUGUCCGAUAUUAUUAAGAAAGUUUUGCAUAUGAGGCAUGGGACCUGCAAGAUACUUUGUUUGCUCCACAAUCUAUAUUUCCUAUACUACCAAAGAGUAUGUAUCUAAUUUACUACUUGUCUGAGCUAUAAUUUUAUUUUAAACUUGAAAGUAGGUGUAUAAUAUUUGUAUAGGUAAGUAUUAUAUGGUAAACUAAACAUAUAAUAAUAUUUCCAAUUUCAUGACACUGUAUAGGGCUGUUGGUGGGAGAUAUGGCAGAAUGCAGAGUUAAAGGCCUUUUCAAUCAUUAUCAUUUUUCACUUAGAAAUGUGAUUAAACAAAGUUUUGGUGUGUUAAAAAAAUAUUUUUCAAUACUGACUGGCUCAAUGUAGAAUUAUCUCAAAAUAAUUAUAUUAUCAUCGCUUAUUAAGCUCUCCAUAAUUAUAUGAGGGACAAAUACUGAAUGACAAAUAUUUCAUGAACUAGGCUACUAUUGAGGCAAUAGAAGUGAACUCAACAACCAAGUUGCAAAGCCACAAUCAUUUGAUAUGUCACAGAUAGUUAUUGAUAGUUGGAAUGACAUGCGUCAAGUAAUUGCCAAUCAUAUGUUGGAAUACCAACAUCAGUAGCUAAGAUUAACUUGUAUUUUGAUUUUUGCAUUAUUGCUAAAAAUUUCACCACUAAAAAAUGGUUAUAUGACAAUGAAAUAAGUCUUUUAUUUGUUAGUUGGUUAGUGGUGCUUUCUUUUUUGUCAAGAAAUAGUAUACAUGCUCCUCAUAUGUACUGAUCCUAUCUAAGAUGUAUUAUAUAUCUAUUAUUUGUGUGUCAUGGUAGUUGUUGUUGGCAAUUUUUUUAGAACCUUAUCGGACCGAUCGGUUUGACUGAUUGAAUCGAGAAUCGGUCAUAGCAACAGUCCUCUCUAGUACAAAAGCAGGGCAUUACUAAAAAUUUCUGAAACCAGGCAAACUGCAUGAAUUAUUAAAAAAUCAUUUGAAAUCAUAAACUAAUGGUUUUUCAAAUCUUUUAACAUUUCACUUAAGUGAAAAAUAUUUUAAAAAAAACCUAUCUCAACACAAAUAUAUAAACAUAGCUCAAAAUAGCCGUCGCUCUCCUCUGUUUUCUUUCUUGGCAACAUUGGCAUUGUUUCUACUUUCAAAACUCAAAGGCUGAUAAUCUCUGUUUUCUUCCUAAUAAGCUAGCUGACAUUUCAACAUCUUGAAGCAAAGAUCAUUUUCAGGGAAAAAGUGAGAUUAGCUCCUUUUUUUUUCUCUUUUUUAUUUUACUUCCUAAUUUUGUUUAAUUGAUUCAAAGGCUCCAUGACAAUCUAACUAUCCAAAACAAGAUUUUGCUUUAAGACUCCAAUCCAUUAGGCUAACAUUUUUAGUUGAUUAAUUGGCUUUCAUCUUGGUGAGUUAAAAUUUUUCCUGUCCAAGACUUUUUUCUUUAUGUUUCUUUUUGUAAAGCUAAUUGAUGUUUUGCUAUUCUUUUUUUUUUUGUCAUAAUUGAUGUUUAAAGCUAAUUGAUGAUGAGCUAUUCUUUUUGUAAAGUCAAUUAAUAUGUCAUUAUUUUUUUUGUAAAGUUUGCUGUUCAAUAGUUUUUUCCUAGUUUUCAUCUUUAUUUUUUGUAAUUGAUGUUGAACUUUUGUUUGAUAUUACUGUUAUUAGUUCUUUAAACUAUUUAGUUAAGGUUUACAAAUAAGAACCAGCUAAUCAUUUGUUUCAUUAGCCUUCAGUUUUAGCAUAUCAACUUCUUUUGAGAUAGUGGAUAGUAUUGACUUCAAAACCUUCACAAUUAAUAGCGUAAGAGGCCCUAAUUCCACUAAAACUUUACCUAAUUACCUUGGCUAAGAAAUAGUUAAUGCAUUCUUAGAUGACUCAGAUGAGGGAAAUUACAUAUAUGAUAAUGGUCCUUAUCUAGCCUCAUCUUACAUAAAAGUUUAGGUAUAACAGUCCUUUCAAUGGUUUUCCACUAUAUAAGUGUACAAAUUCCCUUUUUUUUUUUGUAUGAAAGAUUACAAGUUUUCAUUUCUUACUCAUAUUUCAGUAUUCCAUUUUGCUAACAACUUAAAGACAUAAAAGUGUAGUACUCUUUGUGUUUCCCAACUUCUGUUGUAAUUGAGACGAUUUCUCUGUACAGCGGUAUAUGCAAUUUUAAAGAUGGUACACAAUUUAAAGAACUAAAAAUAUUUAUACAUGUUGAUUUUAGAUUUACAAUUCUUAGUGGUUUAACAGUGAAUUUAUUUAACUAGUCCUCUAUCAACAAGAGAUUUACUUAGUAACUAGUUAAAAUUUUCAAGUUUAUUUAGUAACUAGUUAAAAACUUCAGUUUUUUUUCUUUUUCUCUUAGUACUUUUUAGCUAGCAAUUGGUAGUUUAUCUAUGAAGGUUACUUGAGCCCUUUAAACCAAUAUUCUCUAAUAUAAGAUUUUUCAAAAUAAAUUGAUUGUUAAGAAAUAAAAAAGAACCAUGUCCUAAUAGCACCUAGAAUUGACGAAAUAAAAAAACAAUAAAUAUGACUAUCCCUAUGCAAGACCCAUGUUCCUAUUAACUCUUCUAAGGUCUGAGGGCUUUAGAUGAUAGAAUAUUAUCUAUGCAUUAAAUUUAAAUUUAUUUUUUGGGACUUUUAAUGCAUCAAGUGUUGCUGAAGCUUUUUUAAAAUUUUCUUAUCAGUGCACCAUAUUGAAAUAAUGAACCAAUUAUGUCUAAAUUAAUUAUGUUAAGGAUAAUGGAUACUACUACUGAUACUUGUAGCAAUUCACAAUCUUCGACUAUGGGAGCCAUUAAUAGUGAAACAUCAGCAAGUGAAAGUCACAUGCAAAAGUCAGAUAUAGCAUGGAAUCACCGUUCAAAGGGUGUGAAUAAGGAAGAAAAGUUCUGACAUGUGGAUGUUAUUUUAAAAUAAUUACUUUGGUAGCAUUAAUCGUAUAAAGUAGCAUUUGGCAGGAGAACAAGGCAGUAUUGUUUCAUCUCCAAAGGUUGACUUGGCAGUUAGACAUGUAAUUUUAUCAUCGAUGAAAGAGAAAGAAUAGAAAUCUAAAGAAAAGAAAGGAGACUUUGCGAUAGAAAUUUCAUUUGGUUAAAAUAUGCAUGCAUCAGAUGGUGAUGAAGUGCAAGAAAUUCCUUGUUCUCUGGCCAAUGAGAUAGGUGCAUAUACUAAAGGAAAUAGAAAAGCAAUUGCCCCAGUUGGUAAACAUGCUUUCUUUAAAGGGGGCAGGAUACUUUUCAACCAACCAUCAAGGCUUGUUUGCAAAGGAAAAAAAAAUAUGGACAUGGCUAUUGUUCUUUGGAUUUAUGAUGUUUGCAUUCCCAUAAAUGCUGUUAACUCUCCAUUUUUCAAAAAAUUAUUGAUCAAAUAGCAUCAAUGGGUCACGGGUAUAAAGAUUAAUCAUAUUAUUAUUUGAGAGUUAAUUUGUUGUGAAAUGUUAAGGUAGAUUACUUCAUUUUGAAGUGUUUGGACAGAAAAAAGUUGCACUGUAAUAGGUGAUGGAUGGAAACAUACAAAACAAAGGUCAUUGAUACAUUUUUUGAUUUACUGUCCGAAGGCCAUUUCUUUUAUUAAAUCUAUUGAUGCAUCUGACAUUGUAACUGUGACGGCCCCACCUCCCCCUAGGGUGAACCAGAGGGUUCGGCGGGCCGCCUGCCCAACUCUCGCCGGAACUCAGUCGAUCACUACAAUCCUCAAAUAUAUUACAAUAAAAAUCUCAAAUAUACAUCACAUGGUCCACAAAUAUACAUCCAAGUCUCCAAUAAUUACAUGUCACAAAUGCAGCGGAAACUAAUCCCAAAUAUACAUAAAAUAAUUCGAAAUCCAAAAUUGUACAAAGUUUAGGCCAUCCAUACACGUGCACAACUACUACAAGUCCUUCCUUCGCCACGAGCCCUGUGGAGGGGAAUAAAAUAGUUUUUGGGGUGAGCCAAAAGCUCAGCGAGUAACCAGAAAAUCAUUAAUCAACUCGGUUUCAUAAUAGUUCAUUUCAAUGAUGUCAUAUAGCAAUGAUGUCAUAAAUUAAAUGAUAAAUCCGGAAACAACUACAACAUUUGCAAAACAGUAAAUAUGGAUUAUCAAUAAUUCAAGAAACAUUUACAAUGGAAAGCGAUAGUAACAUUCAUGAAAGGAUACAUUUAUUCUCCUGACAUUUCCUCGCUCAUUUGGUCAUUCAUUUCAUUUCAUUCACCCCGUCCCUGGCUUUUGGCCAAGCUCCACCAACCUACAGAGGUAAUACUCGAGUAUACCAAACGUUCACCCAAGUUCCUAAUCGCCUGACCGAGUCCGCUUCUGGCUCAAGACGACCGGUAACAAGGGGCAAUGGCCAGUUCAGCCCAAAAGGCUUACAUUCAUGCGCAAGUAACAUUUCAAUCAGAAAUUUCACAUUUAUCGAGGUCGAAUGCGAUAAAAUACACACUCGUCUCGAAAACUCGUUUUGAAAAUCAUUAUAAGCGCUUAACACGUUAUCAACCAAAAUACAAGUCAUGAAGUCAAGAAAUAUAGCAAACAAGGCACACUCAAAUGCCAGCACACAUGAUAUGCAAGAAAACAUUUCAAAAGUGACUUUGGAAACAGUUCAAAAGUAAAUAAUGUAAGAAACGGUUCAUAAAUCACUUUAGAAGUAGUUUGAGGUCACUCACCUCCAUGGCUCAGAAAUCAUCCAUCAUAUAACAUUGCCUUACUCAAAUCCAAGUCUUAGAUCACAAACUCAAAGCAAUCAAACCCUUUAAAACUUCGGACAGCACUUCCCCUAAAUUUGCUUACUUUCCCAGCCAUCAUGGCUUCAUUAUUUCCUCAGCCAGUUCCAAAGUCACACAAAUAAGUUCAUCCAAUAGCCAUUCAGCAAGCUCCAAGUAGUACUAGCACAAGUCAAGCUAGGGAAAAGUCCGGAAAUGAAAGUUAAUCUCAAAACCAGAAAAACAGUUUUGACGUCAUUUUGCGGUAAUGGUACCAAAGGCGCUACGAUUGUCGGAUGAAGGUGAAAGACCCACCGUUUCGAAGCUAAGAGUCAGGGCUACAAUAUUGCAGAAGGUCACUCAACCCAAUUUCGAGUGCAAACAGGUCAAAAAGGCAAGAUACUAUAUCAAAAAUGUAAAACAGAUUCACCAAAACGUAUUCUAGCGGAAACAUCAUAACUCAGGCUCUACAAGUCCAAAUCCAGAAAUUCCAAAGGUAUAUGGUAGCUAAUACAUCAAGCUACAUUUCAUCAGAAGACCUCAAAGGCCAAAUCGUGCAUUUUCAUGAUAAAAAAUGGAAGACUACACGAAAACAAAAAUCUGGGCGCGAAACAGGUUUAAAAAACAGUCAAGGGUAUUUCGGUCAUUUGACAUGCUACAGUGGUCGGAUCAAGCUGAAAAUUUACAGGCAACUAGUUUAUAGCCUUGGAUACAACUUUCAUGUUUUGGCCAAAAUCUAAUUCGGUGAGAAUAAGGGUGAAAGGUCACGGUCAAAUCGAGUGAAAAGGCAACCCUGUUCGCAGCACCCCUUCCCAGACCAGUCUCAGUAUUUCCGACUUUUCUCACUCCACACUACUCCAAUUGACCUGAAAUUUUACACGCACCUUUAAAACAUCAAUACCUACAACUUUCAUGUUUUAAACCAAGGCCAAUUCGGUCUCUAACCAUGAGAUACAAAAUCGGACAGAAUUGGGGAUAUAAAACCCUAACUUUCUCAAAUUCCUUCCAAACCCAAAAUUGGUUGCAAUUACCAAUCAUUUACACCUACUAGAGUUAUUAAACAUCAUUUCCAACCAUCAUGGACAGCCACAACAUUAUGAUCAAAUUAAAUCAGAAAAAUCAUCAAUAAAUCAAAAACUUCACCAAUUCAUCUCAAACCAAGAAAUAAACCACAAAUUUCAGCACUUUAGCUCCCACUAGGCAUAACUUAAGCUUCAUUAAGUGUAGGAGGAAGUUCAAUCACCACUCACCUUAACAAUAGAAGAGAGAGAACAACUAGGCACCUUAACUUUCCAAAUAACUCCACCAAGAGCUUCAAUCUUCCUUAGCUAGCAAGUUUUAUGGAGUGAUUUGCAAUUUAAUCGGUUGGAACUCAAGAUUUGAGCAAGAAUUGAAGUUGAAGUUGAAGAAACUCUCUCUUGUUCUUUCCUCACCAAAAAUUUCGGCCAAGACAAUAAAAUGGAAGAAAUUGGGUCAAAAUUUGGUUUAGUAAAGGUUAAGACAAGUCCAAGUCAAAGUCAAGGUCCAAUAGUUAGGUGACAAAUGGUCCUCUAGGAUUUUAAUCUUAUCCUUUUGUCUCUCCAAGAUUAAACCAUCUAAAUAACCUCUAAUUAUCUCUUAGCACCUUGUAAAAUAAUAUCACUUAAUACAAAAUUCCAACAAGUUGUCAAAAAUAUAAUGUAUUUACCGCACUAGUGGGUCCCACGUCCAAAAUACGCUUUUAAUUUCUCAAAAACUAACCGAUACUAGAAAAAUCAUUUUAAAACUAUUUUUGCUCAUAAACUUUAUCUGGGAAAUUUUUCUAAUCAAGAAAAUGUAGAAAAGGCGGGCGUUAAAAAAAAUAAACCCUAGAAAAUUAGAAAAUUUCCGGGUUCUCAAAUUCAUUUUUUUUCGAGGCGUCACAAUCUCCCCUCCUUAAAAGAAUGUCGUCCUCGACAUUCCAUCUUGUACCAAUCAAGUCAAGACAUCCCGCAAAAAUCUCUCAAGAGUCAAUCAAACCCACAGUCCGGCAUCCUAAACUUCAAGCCUAGGAUACACUACAGAGAUCUGAAGCCUAAGCUCUGAUACCAACUGUGACGGCCCCACCUCCCCCUAGGGCGAACCAGAGGGUUCGGCGGGCCGCCUGCCCAGCUCUCGCCGGGACUCAGUCGAUCGCUACAAUCCUCAAAUAUAUUACAAUAAAAAUCUCAAAUAUACAUCACAUGGUCCACAAAUAUACAUCCAAGUCUCCAUUAAUUACAUGUCACAAAUGCAGCGGAAACUAAUCCCAAAUAUACAUAAAAUAAUUCCAAAUCCAAAAUUGUACAAAGUUUAGGCCAUCCAUACACGUGCACAAGUACUACAAGUCCUUCCUUUGCCACGAGCCCUGUGGAGGGGAAUAAAAUAGUUUUUGGGGUGAGCCAAAAGCUCAGCGAGUAACCAGAAAAUCAUUAAUCAACUCGGUUUCACAAUAGUUCAUUUCAAUGAUGUCAUAUAGCAAUGAUGUCAUAAAUUAAAUGAUAAAUCCGGAAACAACUACAUCAUUUGCAAAACAGUAAAUAUGGAUUAUCAAUAAUUCAAGAAACAUUUACAAUGGAAAGCGAUAGUAACAUUCAUGAAAGGAUACAUUCAUUCUCCUGACAUUUCCUCGCUCAUUUGGUCAUUCAUUUCAUUUCAUUCACCCCGUCCCUGGCUUUUGGCCAGGCUCCACCAACCUACAUAGGUAAUACUCGAGUAUACCAAACGUUCACCCAAGUUCCUAAUCGCCUGACCGAGUCCGCUUCUGGCUCAAGACGACCGGUAACAAGGGGCAAUGGCCAGUUCAGCCCAAAAGGCUUACAUUCAUGCGCAAGUAACAUUUCAAUCAAAAAUUUCACAUUUAUCGAGGUCGAAUGCGAUAAAGUACACACUCGCCUCGAAAACUCGUUUUGGAAAUCAUUAUAAGCGCUUAACACGUUAUCAACCAAAAUACAAGUCAUGAAAUCAAGAAAUAUAGCAAACAAGGCACACUCAAAUGCCAGCACACAUGAUAUGCAAGAAAACAUUUCAAAAGUGACUUUGGAAACAGUUCAAAAGUAAAUAAUGUAAGAAACGGUUCAUAAAUCACUUUAGAAGUAGUUUGAGGUCACUCACCUCCAUGGCUCAGAAAUCAUCCAUCAUAUAACAUUGCCUUGCUCAAAUCCAAGUCUUAGAUCACAAACUCAAAGCAAUCAAACCCUUUAAAACUUCGGACAGCACUUCCCCUAAAUUUGCUUACUUUCCCAGCCAUCAUGGCUUCAUUAUUUCCUCAGCCAUUCCAAAGUCACACAAAUAAGUUCAUCCAAUAGCCAUUCAGCAAGCUCCAAGUAGUACUAGCACAAGACAAGCUAGGGAAAAGUCCGGAAAUGAAAGUUAAGCUCAAAACCAGAAAAACAGUUUUGACGUCAUUUUGCGGUAAUGGUACCAAAGGCGCUACGAUUGUCGGAUGAAGGUGAAAGACCCACCGUUUCGAAGCUAAGAGUCAGGGCUACAAUAUUACAGAAGGUCACUCAACCCAAUUUCGAGUGUAAACAGGUCAAAAAGGCAAGAUACUAUAUCAAAAAUGUAAAACAGAUUCACCAAAACGUAUUCUAGCGGAAACAUCAUAACUCAGGCUCUACAAGUCCAAAUCCAGAAAUUCCAAAGGUAUAUGGUAGCUAAUACAUCAAGCUACAUUUCAUCAGAAGACCUCAAAGGCCAAAUCGUGCAUUUUCAUGAUAAAAAAUGGAAGACUACACGAAAACAAAAAUCUGGGCGCGAAACAGGUUUCAAAAAUAGUCAAGGGUAUUUCGGUCAUUUCACAUGCUACAGUGGUCGGAUCAAGCUGGAAAUUUACAGGUAACUAGUUUAUAGCCUUGGAUACAACUUUCAUGUUUUGGCCAAAAUCUAAUUCGGUGAGAAUAAGGGUGAAAGGUCACGGUCAAAUUGAGUGAAAAGGCAACCCUGUUCGCAGCACCCCUUCCCAGACCUGUCUCAGUAUUUCCGACUUUUCUCACUCCACACUACUCCAAUUGACCUGAAAUUUUACAGGUUCCUUUAAAACAUCAAUACCUACAACUUUCAUGUUUUAAGCCAAGGCCAAUUCGACCUCUAACCAUGAGAUACAAAACCGGACAGAAUUGGGGAUAUAAAACCCUAACUUUCUCAAAUUCCUUCCAAACCCAAAAUUGGUUGCAAUUACCAAUCAUUUACACCUACUAGAGUUAUUAAACAUCAUUUCCAACCAUCAUGGACAGCCACAACAUCGUGAUCAAAUUAAACCAGAAAAAUCAUCAAUAAAUCAAAAACUUCACCAAUUCAUCUCAAACCAACAAAUAAACCACAAAUUUCAGCACUUUAGCUCCCACUAGGCAUAACUUAAGCUUCAUUAAGUGUAGGAGGAAGUUCAAUCACCACUCACCUUAACAAUAGAAGAGAGAGAACAACUAGGCACCUUAACCUUCCAAAUAACUCCACCAAGAGCUUCAAUCUUCCUUAGCUAGCAAGUUUUAUGGAGUGAUUUGCAAUUUAAUCGGUUGGAACUCAAGAUUUGAGCAAGAAUUGAAGUUGAAGUUGAAGAAACUCUCUCUUGUUCUUUCCUCACCAAAAAUUUCGGCCAAGACAAUAAAAAUGGAAGAAAUUGGGUCAAAAUUUGGUUUAGUAAAGGUUAAGACAAGUCCAAGUCAAAGUCAAGGUCCAAUAGUUAGGUGACAAAUGGUCCUCUAGGAUUUUAAUCUUAUCCUUUUGUCUCUCCAAGAUUAAACCAUUAAAUAACCUCUAAUUAUCUCUUAGCACCUUGUAAAAUAAUAUCACUUAAUACAAAAUUCCAACAAGUUGUCAAAAAUAUAAUGUAUUUACCGCACUAGCGGGUCCCACGUCCAAAAUACGCUUUUAAUUUCUCAAAAACUAACCGAUACUAGAAAAAUCAUUUUAAAACUAUUUUUGCUCAUAAACUUUAUCUGGGAAAUUUUUCUAAUCAAGAAAAUGUAGAAAAGGCGGGCGUUAAAAAAAAUAAACCCUAGAAAAUUAGAAAAUUUUCGGGUUCUCAAACUCAUUUUUUUUCGGGGCGUCACAAUCUCCCCUCCUUAAAAGAAUGUCGUCCUCGACAUUCCAUCUUGUACCAAUCAAGUCAAGACAUCCCGCAAAAAUCUCUCAAGAGUCAAUCAAACCCACAGUCCGGCAUCCUAAACUUCAAGCCUAGGAUACACUACAGAGAUCUGAAGCCUAAACUCUGAUACCAACUGUGACGGCCCCACCUCCCCCUAGGGCGAACCAGAGGGUUCGGCGGGCCGCCUGCCCAACUCUCGCCGGGACUCAGUCGAUCACUACAAUCCUCAAAUAUAUUACAAUAAAAAUCUCAAAUAUACAUCACAUGGUCCACAAAUAUACAUCCAAGUCUCCAAUAAUUACAUGUCACAAAUGCAGCGGAAACUAAUCCCAAAUAUACAUAAAAUAAUUUCAAAUCCAAAAUUGUACAAAAUUUAAGCCAUCCAUACACGUGCACAAGUACUACAAGUCCUUCCUUCGCCACGAGCCUUGUGGAGGGGAAUAAAAUAGUUUUUGGGGUGAGCCAAAAGUUCAGCGAGUAACCAGAAAAUCAUUAAUCAACUCGGUUUCACAAUAGUUCAUUUCAAUGAUGUCAUAUAGCAAUGAUGUCAUAAAUUAAAUGAUAAAUCCGGAAACAACUACAUCAUUUGCAAAACAGUAAAUAUGGAUUAUCAAUAAUUUAAGAAACAUUUACAAUGGAAAGCGAUAGUAACAUUCAUGAAAGGAUACAUUCAUUCUCCUGACAUUUCCUCGCUCAUUUGGUCAUUCAUUUCAUUUCAUUCACCCCGUCCCUGGCUUUUGGCAGGCUCCACCAACCUACAUAGGUAAUACUCGAGUAUACCAAACGUUCACCCAAGUUCCUAAUCGCCUGACCGAGUCCGCUUCUGGCUCAAGACGACCGGUAACAAGGGGCAAUGGCCAGUUCAGCCCAAAAGGCUUACAUUCAUGCGCAAGUAACAUUUCAAUCAAAAAUUUCACAUUUAUCGAGGUCGAUGCGAUAAAGUACACACUCGCCUCGAAAACUCGUUUUGGAAAUCAUUAUAAGCGCUUAACACGUUAUCAACCAAAAUACAAGUCAUGAAGUCAAGAAAUAUAGCAAACAAGGCACACUCAAAUGCCAGCACACAUGAUAUGCAAGAAAACAUUUCAAAAGUAACUUUGGAAACAGUUCAAAAGUAAAUAAUGUAAGAAACGGUUCAUAAAUCACUUUAGAAGUAGUUUGAGGUCACUCACCUCCAUGGCUCAGAAAUCAUCCAUCAUAUAACAUUGCCUUGCUCAAAUCCAAGUCUUAGAUCACAAACUCAAAGCAAUCAAACCCUUUAAAACUUCGGACAGCACUUCCCCUAAAUUUGCUUACUUUCUCAGCCAUCAUGGCUUCAUUAUUUCCUCAGCCAGUUCCAAAGUCACACAAAUAAGUUCAUCCAAUAGCCAUUCAGCAAGCUUCAAGUAGUAUUAGCACAAGUCAAGCUAGGAAAAAGUCCGGAAAUGAAAGUUAAGCUCAAAACCAGAAAAACAGUUUUGACGUCAUUUUGCGGUAAUGGUACCAAAGGCGCUACGAUUGUCGGAUGAAGGUGAAAGACCCACCGUUUCGAAGCUAAGAGUCAGGGCUACAAUAUUACAGAAGGUCACUCAACCCAAUUUCGAGUGUAAACAGGUCAAAAAGGCAAGAUACUAUAUCAAAAAUGUAAAACAGAUUCACCAAAACGUAUUCUAGCGGAAACAUCAUAACUCAGGCUCUACAAGUCCAAAUCCAGAAAUUCCAAAGGUAUAUGGUAGCUAAUACAUCAAGCUACAUUUCAUCAGAAGACCUCAAAGGCCAAAUCGUGCAUUUUCAUGAUAAAAAAUGGAAGACUACACGAAAACAAAAAUCUGGGCGCGAAACAGGUUUCAAAAACAGUCAAGGGUAUUUCGGUCAUUUCACAUGCUACAGUGGUCGGAUCAAGAUGAAAAUUUACAGGUAACUAGUUUAUAGCCUUGGCUACAACUUUCAGGUUUUGGCCAAAAUCUAAUUCGGUGAGAAUAAGGGCGAAAGGUCACGGUCAAAUUGAGUGAAAAGGCAACCCUGUUCGCAGCACCCCUUCCCAGACCUGUCUCAGUAUUUCCGACUUUUCUCACUCCACACUACUCCAAUUGACCUGAAAUUUUACAGGUACCUUUAAAACAUCAAUACCUACAACUUUCAUGUUUUAAGACAAGGCCAAUUCGACCUCUAACCGUGAGAUACAAAACCGGACAGAAUUGGGAAUAUAAAACCCUAACUUUCUCAAAUUCCUUCCAAACCCAAAAUUGGUUGCAAUUACCAAUCAUUUACACCUACUAGAGUUAUUAAACAUCAUUUCCAACCAUCAUGGACAGCCUCAACAUCAUGAUCAAAUUAAACCAGAAAAAUCAUCAAUAAAUCAAAAACUUCACCAAUUCAUCUCAAACCAAGAAAUAAACCACAAAUUUCAGCACUUUAGCUCCCACUAGGCAUAACUUAAGCUUCAUUAAGUGUAGGAGGAAGUUCAAUCACCACUCACCUUAACAAUAGAAGAGAGAGAAUAACUAAGCACCUUAACCUUCCAAAUAACUCCACCAAGAGCUUCAAUCUUCCUUAGCUAGCAAGUUUUAUGGAGUGAUUUUGCAAUUUAAUCGGUUGGAACUCAAGAUUUGAGCAAGAAUUGAAGUUGAAGUUGAAGAAACUCUCUCUUGUUCUUUACUCACCAAAAAUUUCGGCCAAGACAAUAAAAAUGGAAGAAAUUGGGUCAAAAUUUGGUUUAGUAAAGGUUAAGACAAGUCCAAGUCAAAGUCAAGGUCCAAUAGUUAGGUGACAAAUGGUCCUCUAGGAUUUUAAUCUUAUCCUUUUGUCUUUCCAAGAUUAAACCAUCUAAGUAACCUCUAAUUAUCUCUUAGCACCUUGUAAAAUAAUAUCACUUAAUACAAAAUUCCAACAAGUUGUCAAAAAUAUAAUGCAUUUACCGCACUAGCGGGUCCCACGUCCAAAAUACGCUUUUAAUUUCUCAAAAACUAACCGAUACUAGAAAAAUCAUUUUAAAACUAUUUUUGCUCAUAAACUUUAUCUGGGAAAUUUUUCUAAUCAAGAAAAUGUAGAAAAGGCGGGCGUUAAAAAAAAUAAACCCUAGAAAAUUAGAAAAUUUCCGGGUUCUCAAACUCAUUUUUUUUCGGGGCGUCACAGUAACAAAUGGAGAAAACUUGUGUAAUUCAUUUGUUGAAAUUGUUGAGAUGGUUGUCCAAAUAAUGUGGUGCAUUUAGUUACUGAUAAUGCCAGUAACUCUAAGGCUGCUAGAGCUUUGCUAAAUGAAAGAUAUUCAAAUAUUUAUUGGUUAUCAUUAAGCUUCUUCAAAAUCUCUGGCGGUAGGUUAGUUAGAAAGUGUCCUCCCAAUUUGUAUUUAAAGUUAAUGAUGAAAGUUUCAAGGGUAUUUUUUAAAAUUACAAGAGCAAAUAUCAUGGUCUACAACAACCAAUCAGAAAGAUUUGAAAGAUUUUUAUAUGAUGGGAAAUGUUGGUGUGUAUUGAUUCAAAAGAAAAGAGUUUCAUGCUCCAUUUUUAAGUUAUCAAACAAAGAUGACGUUGAUAAGGUGCCUAAUUUAACAAUGGGUGAUUUGCGUGGAACUAAUUUUUUAUUUCAAAUUUAUAGUACUGUAAAAAGAUAAUGUUGAUUGUACCUUCGGUGGGUAUUUUUAGAAUCAGCAUCAUGCCUGGGAUGUCUGAGAUGAUAAGUGGUAGGUUGGUCAGAAGGUGUCCUCCCGAUCUGUAUUAAAAGUUAACGAUGGAAGUUUCAAGAAUAUUUUUUGAAAUUACAAGAAUAAAUAUUGUGGUCUAAAACAACCAAUCAAAAAUAUUUGAAAAAUUUUUACAUGACAGGGAAUGUUGGCGUGUAUUGAUUCAAAAGAAAAGAGUUUCAUGUUCCAUUUUUGAAAUAUCAAACAAAUAUGACUUUGAUAAGGUGGCUAAUUUAACAAUGGAUGAUUUGCGUGGAGCCAAUUUUUUACUUCAAAUUUAUGGUACUGUAAAAAGAUAAGGUUGACUGUACUUUCAGUGGAUAUUUUUGGAAUCAAUAUCAUGCCUCAUAUGAUGUAAAUGGUUUGUUUUGAAAGAGGCGUCUGAGGUGAUAAGAGGUAUCAUAUCGUGCUUUGGAAAACUUGUCAAGGUGAAAUUUACCACAGUGAUGUAAUAGGUAUCAAAAUUUUUGUGAUUGGGGAAAAAGUGAAAUUAUUGUUGGCUAAAUUUGAUUACAGAAAUAUGGACAAAAAGAGUGGAAAAGCCAUAUAUUACUUGAUACGAGCUGUCUGUAUCAAAUGUUCAACAACACAGUACUAUGACCUCAUCCUACACAUUUAGUUGCGGAGUAUAAGCCAUUUUGUAAUGAGAAAGAUUUACUGCACCAAAAACACUAUUAUCAUCCUUUCCUCUUAAGGCAUGAAGAGUGUCAGAAAAUUUUUUUACGUAUUUGUUCAAGGAUGAGAGAUAGACUAAAGCAUUCAAAAAUCUAACAAUGGGUGAUUUGCAUGAGACUAAUUUUUUACUUCAAAUUUAUAGUACUGUAAAAAGAUAAAGUUGAUUGUACCUUCGGUGGGUAUUUUUGGAAUCAGCAUCAUGCCUCACAUGAUAUAAAGGGUUUGGUUUGACGAAGGUGUCUGAGAUGAUAAGGGGUAGGUUGGUGAGAAAGUGUCUUCCCGAUCUGUAUUUAAUGUUAAAAAUGAAAGUUUCAAGGAUACUUUUUGAAAUUACAAGAGAAAAUAUUAUGAUCUACAACAACCAAUCAAAAGUAUUUGAAAAAUUUUUACAUGAUGGGGAAUGUUGGUUUGUAUUGAUUCAAAAUAAAAGAGUUUUAUGUUCAAUUUUUGAAAUAUCAAACAAAUAUGACUUUGAUAAGAUGGCUAAUUUAACAAUGGGUGAUUUGCAUGGAGCUAAUUUUUUAUUUCAAAUUUAUGGUACUGUAAAAAAAUAAGGUUGACUGUACUUUCGGUGGAUAUUUCUGGAAUCAGUAUCAUGCAUCAUAUGAUGUUUUGAAGGAGGCGUCUGAGGUGAUAAGGGGUAUCAUAUCGUGUUUUCGAGAACUUGUCAAGGUGAAAAUUUACCACGGUGAUGUAAUAGGUAACAAAAUUUUUGUGGUUAGGGAAAAAGUAAAAUUAUUGUUGGCUAAAUUUGAUUAUAGAAACAUGGAUAAAAAAGGUGAAAAAGCCAUAGAUUACUUGAUACGAGCUGUUUGCAUCAAAUGUUCAACAACACACUACUACGACCUCCUCCUAAACUUUUAGCUACGGAGUAUAAGCUAUUUUAUAAUGUGAAAGAUUUACUACACCCAAAACUCUAUUAUCAUCCUUUCCUCUUGAUGCAUGAAGAGUGUCUGAAAAUUUUCAUACGUGUUUGUUCAAGGAUGGCAGAUAGACUAAAGCAUUCAAAAAUCUAACAAUGGGUGAUUUGCGUGGAAUUAAUUUUUUACUUCAAAUUUAUAGUAGUGUAAAAAAAUAAAGUAGAUUGUACCUGUAGACACCAAAUUUUUUAUUUUUAGCUUUAUUUGUUUAAUUAAUUUAAUUUUAGCUUUAUUUGUUUCAAUUUUAGGUUUUGUAUUUUUAUUUUAUUUUAUUAUUUAUUUUGUCUUCGGGUCUCUUAUUUUUGUUUGAUUUAAGGUUAAAAGCAUAUUUUUUACAUACUAAAUUUCAGAAAAAAAAAAGAAAAUCAUCAAUCAGAAAAAUCCUUUAGCGUUUUAUCUUUUAUUCCUGGUUUUGCUCAUUUUAUUUGAUUUUAGUUAAAAUGUUAUUUUCAUUUUUCUUAAGUUAUUAUAAAAAAAGGAGAAAAAAGGAAAAAAACCACGCAUGCAGCGGAAUUACAGAAUCACGAAGAAUACCAUUUUCCACGGUUUUUAAUGCUUUUCUUUUUUUCCAAACCUUCAGCCACCUCAUCCCCUUGGAUUCUUAUUAAAAACCUUCUGGAACAAUAGCCAUCGGAUGGCCAAGGUAGAGGCAUUGAGCUGGGGUGGUUUGUGACCAUCCAGAUGAGGGUUAAGAGAGAUUCAUGAUGAUAUAAAAGGAAAAGAAAGGAACAGCGUGAGGGGGUUAGGGUGGAUAAGGUUGGCGGCUGAGGAACACAGGAGUUUUUAAGGGACGGCUAAUGAGGCAAGAGAGUUGGCGGCUAGGGUAUUAGAAAAGAAACCAGAGAGGGGAGUUUGGUGACGGCUGAGGGUUGAAGGAAAGUGAGAGAAAACCGAGAGAGAGUUGAGAAAAGAAAAAGAGUGAGCGAGAGGGAGUGUGUGUGUGAUGAAGCCAAAAGAAAACAGCAAAGGAAGAAAAACGGAGAGGAGAGCAGAAGAGCAAAGGAGGAAGACGAAAUCUGGUGUUGUCUCCUCGGCGAGUCAAGAAAUUAUUGGAGCUGCUAACCCCUCACGAGAAGCUGUGAUCACUUCAUCACGCCAUCAUCAGUCUCAAAUCUUCACCGAGAGAAAGAGCACGAGCACUGUAAGUUAGUCUUGUCCUUUAAACUUCAGUAUAUCUUCACGCGCAGAUGCUUGAAGCUGUUGAAGCAUGUAUUCAGUAUCUUUGCCUAUGGAAUGUCUACUAUUUUAUUGUUUACUUUUUCCUUCCUUCUUGUUUCAUGUUCACUAUGAAUCUGUGGCUUUGUUUGUGAGUAAAAAGGCUAAGUCUUUUGGCUGCCAUAGCUAUGUCUUGAAUUCAUGUGAUUGAGAGCUUGUGAACCAAAAAGCCAUCAGCUUUUUCGUUUUUUUUUCCUCCAUGAAAAUGAAUAGGUGGGAGCCGUGGGUUGUGAGUUUGUUGUCAUGGUUGGGCUUUAAAAUGUUUUCUCGAAGUUUUGAGUUAGUGGUCAGUGGAGUAGAUGUUCAUAAUCACUUUGCAUUGCUGCUGAACUUUGUUUGGGAUUAGGAGAUCCUGUUCCAUUACCUUGCUGCAUUUCAUGUUCAUGAGCCCUGUUGAAUCUUCCCUCUCCCCAUUGUCCUAAAUUCUUGCGCUUUAUGUUUGUAUAAGUUAGAACUUGUAAUGGGUCAUUCUUAGUUGAAUAUGUUGGAACUCUUGUCAGGAAUCGUCGCAUUUUCAAGUUACAUUUUGGCCCAUGUUCUUCAUCUUCUUUUUAAAUCAAAAAUUCAUUUUUCAAUUAAAAAAUUGAAUUAAAAGCCAUUUUUCUAAACUCGUCUUUUAUUUUUAUUAAAAAAUGGGGCGCGACAGUACCUUCGGUGGAUGUUUCUAGAAUCAGCAUCAUCCCUCAAAUGAGGUAAAGCAUUUAUUUUGAAGAAGGUGUCUGGAAUGAUAGGGAGUAGGUUGGUUAGAAAGUGUCCUCCCGAUCUGUAUUUGAAGUUAACGAUGGAAGUUUCUAAGAUAUUUUUUGAAAUUACAAGAGAAAAUAUUAUGGUCUACAACAACCAAUAAAAAAUAUUUGAAAAAUUUUACAUGAUGGGGAAUGUUGGCGUGUAUUGAUUCAAAAUAAAAGAGUUUCAUGUCCCAUUUUUAAAAUAUCAAACGAAUAAGACUUUGAUAAAGUGGCUAAAUUAACAACGGAUGAUUUGUGUGGAACUAAUUUUUUACUUCAAAUUUAUGGUACUGUAAAAAAAUAAGAUUGACUUACUUUCGGUGGAUAUUUCUGGAAUCAGCAUCAUGCCUCACAUGAUGUUUUGAAGGAGGCGUCUGAGGUAAUAAGGGGUAUCAUAUCGUGUUUUCGAGAACUUGUGUGAGAACCUCGAAAAAAUGACUGCAUACAUAUAUACAUCUAGGCAUAUUGCAUUGGCAUUCUUGAUUAUUAAAUAAAUUCUAGCUUUAUUUCUACUUGUUAUUAACUAAGUACGUGAAAACAAUUCUCAGGUUACAAAUAAUAUAAUUGUGCCAAAAUAUUAAAUUACUUGGUUUUGUUAAGUUAAUUUAACAUCCCUUGAGGUAGAUUAUUUUAUAGUCUUAAUAUAAAUUCUUUGAAUUCCGAUAGCUAAUCUUAAGCGUUAAUAAUGAUUAAGUGUUAACGGGAACCUUAGCAUCAAGACGAAGUCGAUAUAUUUUAGACAAAACCAUUACAAGUACACUUAGUAUACUUAGGACGUAAAAGUCUCAAAAAUUGAAUAUUUACGAGGUUAGUAUAAUAGUAGGCAUUCAAAUUACAUUCGGGGUAAAUUUUGGAAUUAGAUUAGGAUUGAGGACUUAAGUGGAAAUUCGGAAGAAAUGUGAAAAGACCAAAUUGGCCCUCCACCAUCUCGGAUUUACCAUGCAACCACCAAAGCUUCAUUGGCCAACUUUAAAACACAAACAUUUUCAUCUCUGCCGGAUUGCAUUUCAUUCUCCACUCACACACUCCAUCUCUUUCAUCCGCGAUUUAUCUCUCCAUUUCAACAACUCCAACACCCUACAACACCAUUGCAUUUCACUCCAUUCCCUGCCUUGGUAUCAUCGACGAGAGGAAACCAGAGAGAGAGCUGUGCGAGUUACGAACCUUGAACUGUCCGAGAGAGGGUGAGAGCAAGAGAUAACCGUGCGAGCUUCAUUACUUCCUCCAUCACCACCGAGAGCUGCCAUUCCAUUCUUCACCCUCAACCAGCCGUGAUCAAUUCAACCACAACCACCACAGCUGCAACCACUGAACUCAGAUCAACCAUCCUCGCGUGCGUGAGCAAAGCCGAGAGGCGAGGGAAAAAAAAUUCAGCUUUCUGGUCGCGUGAGUGAGCUCCAUUUGAGGUAAUUUCUGAACUGAAAUUAGCUGAUUAUAGGCAAAUGAGGUCAGCUAUGGACUUGCAUGUGAUGCUUGUGCGUCCGGAUGUUGAAUUGCAACAUAGGAAAAUCUGAUGUGAAGAAAAAUGGGUUGGCCGAGAGAUUUAAUUGGAUAAUGCAGCUAAAAUUUGUUCGAUCGUGAUAAUCUGAGCUUAGAUAGGUGAUUAGCUAACUAGAAACUAGAUGAUUAUGCUAUGCAUGAGGUUAAUCAGUUCGGAUUAAGCAAGAAAAAAAAAUGAAACAAAAAUUUGCUGCAUGCAAGUCAUCCGAAAAUAGUUGACCAAAUUCUGGAAUUGUGGAUGAAUGUUGCUGAUGUCCGAACCUGUUUUGGACUAGAACUGAUAGUAACUCCACUAAUUAGUCAUGCAUGUUAGUUUUGAGUACAUAAUACAAUGAUUCAGCCGAGGAAAAUUUGGAUUGAUGACUGAUUAAGUGCUGGAAAAUUUCUAUGAUAUCCGAGGGAGUGAAGCCAGAAUUUCAGCUUGUUCCUGGAAUUCUCUUUGGAGAAUAAUGUUUAGAAACGUCUGAAAUAUGUCUGUUUUAGGUCUUAUAAGAUAUCUAGAUGUGAAACUCUUGAAAUGUUGGUAGAUUUGGCCGGAAAUGUUGAACUAAGCUGCUGGAAUUUUUCCCAGUGUAGCCGAGUGAAGAAGAAAAGAAUUUUUCCAGAUUUCUUUUGCGAAUUUUGGGUUCUAAAAUUAUGUUAUAAGCUGUAAAAUUCAUAUUGUUGAUUAAGAUACUCCGUAGCAUAAUAAUUACCAUCUGCAUGAUAAGCUGGGAGUGAGAAAGAUGAAGAAAUUGUGGAGGAAGUUUCUCUUAUAAAACUGCCAAAUUGUUAGACAAAAUGUGUGUUAUGUGUUUGGUGUUUUAGGCAAGUAAAAAAAAAAUGGAAACUUUGGCAAAAAAAGGUUGAAGUCAUAUUGCUAGAAAUUUGGUUAAUGGCCAAAUGAGAAAGGAUCUGAAAUUCUUAUAUUGUUUCGGAAAUGUUCAUGAUAAUUGGCUGCAACCUUGAGUAAGAUAUUGUAUAAUAUCGUGUACAUGUUAUUGAAAUUUAAUAUUUGAAUUUUUGGUUGAUUCGUGGUAGUAAAGUAAUUGUUUAACGCCAAGAGCUAAUGAUUGAUGAAGCCUUGGUCAUUUGAGUAAUUUUUACAAGAAUGAGAACCUUGAUGGAAUUGUUUGAUGCCUUGGACUUAUUUUGUUCAAUUUUGAUUAGAAAUGAACCUGUUGAAAUCUAGGGUUAAUGAUUGACGAAACCCUAGUGAAAUGGAUGCUUGAAAUAUGAUUUUGCUAUAUUGACAAAUUGGAGUAUAAAAUUGAAAUGAAUUUGGAAUCGUGAAGUCCAUUUUGGUUCUUGGAAUUUGAGCACUCUUAAACUAAGCUUUGUUGAAAUAUUUUACCUUAGUAUCGAACUAUAAAAUUUGAUAUAGUACGAUAAUGUUAAAAUUAGGGUGUCGGGAUUUAAAAAAAAAAAAAAAAAACCUUGCCAACUAGUUAUUUCUUUCUUUGGCUUAAACUAGCCUUAUUAUUUUUAGAAAAUGAUUACACUAGUCUUUAAACUUUAGAUUUGUUUAAAAAAAAAAAUUUGUCCCAACUAGUUACUUUAGAGAAACUUGUCAAAAAAAAAAAUAUAUAUAUAUAUAUAUAUAUAAACGAGAUUGGGAUAAUUUUAAAGGAAAGACGUAUGAAACUUGCUCGGCAAGAAACCAUACGAAAUAAUUCCACUACUUUUACUAGUUUUAACUUUAAGUGAAUUGUCGUUUUGUCUUGAGAAGAUAAACUAGUUAUACAUACAAAUAAUCUCUCCUACGUAAACCUAGAACUGGUAUAGCCAAACUUAUAGUUUUAAAACUUGGUAUUUUAGGGUUUAACGAGGACGUGGACUUCAAUUCCCAGCUUGACCUUUGAACUUCACUCUUGGUGAGUGUCCCUGCUUGUGCUAUGCUCUUUUUGUUAAGAUGCUUUAUUGACUUGAUAUGUGAUAAUUGGAAAGUGGUUUUCUGAUCCAUCGAAAUGGGCAGUGUGUACUUUACCGCACUAGCUCUUUCGAGUGGUGACUUGUUUGAAAUAUUUUCUUGAAAUAUCCUGUUUGCACUUGCUAAGCACUGAGUAGGGGAAUGUACUACACCUGAGGGUGGGAGGGCCUCUUAUCCUAUCUCAAGUGCUAACACCUUGGAAUACUAGCUAAGUACUGAGUAGGGAAAUGUACCACACCCGAGAGUAGGAGGGUCUCUUAUCCUAACUCAAGUACCCAAUCACUAGGCAGGGGAAUGUAUCACACCUUAGGGUGGGAGGGCCUCUUAUCCUGACCUGGUAAUCACUUGUUGAGACAUAACGUCGUUGGGUGAAUUUCUCGACUAAUCUAUAAAAAGGUAUACUCGAGUAAUACCGAACUACUUGUUAGAAGAACGGGGCCCGGUGGGAGUAAGUUGGUCGGAGUAAGAAAAAAUAAAAAGAUCUACAUGGACCUUAGAUAGUGAAAGUUGACGGAGGGUCAACUACGGAGAAUUUUGAUCAAGCUCGUGGGGAAAGGCUCCUGAGAGCCCUGUAUCCUAUAUUGUGCUAUUAUACGCUUUCCUAAUUGUUUACUUUGGCCGAAGUUAAUACUUGCUAUUUAUUUUAUGUGAUUACAUGUUUUGGGGCACAACUGAGCUUUAGCUCACCCCACGUUAUUUGUUUUCCUUGACAGGUCCUGGCAUUUGAGAGAUCUGAAAUCUAUUUAUACUUUUUAUGAAUGUAGUUUGAAUUAAACAAUGUAUCUUUUGUCUUGGGUUGCCACUUGAAGUUAGAAAAGUGCAAACCCUAAAUUUUGGCUUGUAUAAAUGUAUUUGAAUUUUAUGGUUUCACUUCGUGGUUUGUAAUGUAAUUGUAGUUAUGUGUUAAACUGGUUGGAGAUGUACUUGAGAAUGAAUGUUCAGAUGCCAAUGGCCAUGUUAUCUCUGAAGUUAAUGUGUUUCUAGUAUUCUGGAAGUUUAAAGGAUUGGCUUGUUCGGUUGUCGAAUUUUGUCUUGAUUUAAAUUAUACGUCGGAAGGGUUUAGUUAGUUUUCUUACGUGAGUCCUGGCGAGAGUUAGGCAGGCGACCCGCCAACCCUCUGGUUCGCCUUAGGGAGAAGUGGGGCUGCCACAACUUGUCAAGGUGAAAAUUUACCACGGUGAUGCAGUAGGUAACAAAAUUUUUGUAGUUGGGGGAAAAGUGAAAUUAUUGUUGGCUAAAUUUGAUUACAGAAAUAUGGAUCAAAAAGAGUGAAAAAACGAUUGAUUACUUGAUACGAGCUGUAUGCAUCAAAUAUUCAACAACACACUACUAUGACCUCCUCCUAGACUUUUAGCUACGAAGUAUAAGCUAUUUUGUAAUGUGAAAGAUUUACAACACCCAAAACUCUAUUAUCAUCCUUUCCUUUUUGAUGCAUGAAGAGUGUCAGGAAAUUUUCAUACGAGUUUGUUCAAGGAUGGCAGAUAAACUAAAGCAUUCAAAAAUCUAAUAAUGGGUGAUUUGCGUGGAACUAAUUUUUUACUUCAAAUUUAUAGUACUGUAAAAAGAUAAUGUUGAUUGUACCUUCGGUGGAUAUUUCUGGAAUCAGCAUCAUGCCUCAAAUGAUGUAAAUAAUUUAUUUUAAAGGAGGUGUCUGGAAUGAUAAGGAGUAGGUUGGUUAGAAAGUGUCCUUCCGAUCUGUAUUUUAAGUUAACGAUGGAAGUUUCUAGGAUUUUUUUUGAAAUUACAAGAGAAAAUAUUAUGGUCUACAACAAUCAAUAAAAAAUAUUUGAAAAAUUUUACAUGAUGGGGAAUAUUGGUGUGUAUUGAUUCAAAAGAAAAGAGUUUCAUGUUCCAUUUUUGAAACAUCAAACGAAUAUGACUUUGAUAAUGUGGCUAAAUUAAUAAUGGAUGAUUUGCGUGGAACUAAUUUUUUACUUCAAAUUUAUGGUACUGUAAAAAGAUAAGAUUGACUGUACUUUCGGUGGAUAUUUCUGAAAUCAGCAUCAUGCCUCACAUGAUGUAAAGGUUUUGUUUUGAAGGAGGUGUCUGAUGUGAUAAGGGGUAUCAUAUCGUGCUUUGGAUAACUUGUCAAGGUGAAAACUUACCAUGGUGAUGUAAUAGAUAACAAAAUUUUUGUGGUUGGAGAAAAAGUGAAAUUAUUGUUGGGUAAAUUUGAUUACAGAAACAUGAAUAAAAAAGAGUGGGAAAGCCAUAGAUUACUUGAUACGAGCUGUCUGCAUCAAAUGUUCAACAACACACUACUAUGACCUCUUUCUAGACUUUUAGCUGCGGAGUAUAAGUUAUUUGUAAUGUGAAAGAUUUACUGCACCCAAAACUCUAUUAUCAUCCUUUCCUUUUGAUGCAUGAAGAGUAUCUGAAAAUUUUUUUAUGUGUUUGUUCAAGGAUGAGAGAUAGACUAAAGCAUUAAAAAAUCUAACAAUGGGUGAUUUGCGGGGGACUAAAUUUUUUAUUUCAAAUUUACAGUACUGUAAAAAGAUAAGGUUGAUUGUACCUUCAGUGGGCAUUUCUAGAAUUAGCAUCAUGCCUCACAUGAUAUAAAGGGUUUGGUUUGAAAAAGGUGUCUGAGAUGAUAAGGGGUAGAUUGGUGAGAAAGCGUCUUCCCGAUCUGUAUUUGAAGUUAACAAUGAAAGUUUCAAGGAUACUUUUUAAAAUUACAAGAGAAAAUAUUAUGGUCCACAACAACCAAUCAAAAGUAUUUGAAAAUUUUUUACAUGAUGGGGAGUGUUGGUGUGUAUUGAUUCAAAAGAAAAGAGUUUCAUGUUCCAUUUUUUAAAUAUCAAACAAAUAUGACUUUGAUAAGGUGGCUAAAUUAACAAUGGAUUAUUUGCGUGAAACUAAUUUUUACUUCAAAUUUAUGGUACUGUAAAAAGAUAAGGUUGACUGUACUUUCAGUGAAUAUUUCUGGAAUCAGCAUCAUGCCUCACAUGAUGUAAAGGUUUUGUUUCGAACGAGGCGUCUGAGGUGAUAAGGGGUAUCAUAUCGUACUUUGGAGAACUUGUCAAGGUGAAAAUUUACCACGGUGAUGUAAUAGGUAUCAAAAUUUUUGUGAUUGGGGAAAAAGUGAAAUUAUUGUUGACUAAAUUUGAUUAUAGAAACAUGGAUAAAAAAGAGUGAAAAAGCCAUAGAUUACUUGAUACGAGCUAUCUGCAUCAAAUGUUCAACAACACACUCUCCUCGACUUUUAACUGCGUAAUAUAUGCUAUUUUGUAAUGUGAAAGAUUUACUACACCCAAAACUCUAUUAUCAUCUUUUCCUCUUGAUGCAUGAAGAGUGUCAAGAAAUUUUCAUACGUGUUUGUUCAAAGAUGGCAGAUAGACUAAAGCAUUCAAAAAUCUAACAAUGGGUGAUUUGCAUGGAACUAAUUUUUUACUUCAAAUUUAUGGUACUGUAAAAGGAUAAGGUUGAUUGUACCUUCAGUGGGUAUUUCUGGAAUCAGCAUCAUGCCUCAAAUGACGUAAAGGAUUUAUUUUAAAGGAGGUGUCUAGAAUGAUAAGGAAUAGGUUGGUUAGAAAGUGUCCGCCCGAUCUGUAUUUUAAGUUAACGAUGGAAGUUUCAAAGAUAUUUUUUGAAAUUACAAGAGAAAAUAUUAUGGUCUACAACAACCAAUAAAAAAUAUUUAAAAAUUUUACAUGAUGAGGAAUGCUGGUGUGUAUUGAUUCAAAGGAAAAGAGUUUCAUGUUUCAUUUUUGAAAUAUCAAACGAAUAUGACUUUGAUAAGGUGGCUAAAUUAACAAUGGAUGAUUUGCAUGGAACUAAUUUUUUAAUUCAAAUUUAUGGUACUGUAAAAAGAUAAGAUUGAUUGUACUUUCAGUGGAUAUUUCUGGAAUCAGCAUCAUGCCUCGCAUGAUGUAAAGGUUUUGUUUUAAAGGAGGCGUCUGAGAUGAUAAGGGAUAUCAUAUCGUGCUUUGGAGAACUUGUCAAGGUGAAAAUUUACCACAGUGAUGUAAUAGAUAACAAAAUUUUAGUGGUUGGGGAAAAAGUGAAAUUAUUGUUGUGUAAAUUUGAUUACAGAAACAUGGAUAAAAAAAAAUGGAAAAGCCAUAAAUUACUUGAUACGAGCUGUCUGCAUCAAAUGCUCUACAACACACUACUACGACCUCCUCCUAGACUUUUAACUGCGUAAUAUAUGCUAUUUUGUAAUGUGAAAGAUUUACUACACCCAAAACUCUAUUAUCAUCCUUUCCUCUUGAUGCAUGAAGAGUGUCAGAAAAUUUUCAUACGUGUUUAUUCAAUGACGGCAGAUAGACUAAAGCAUUCAAUAAUCUAACAAUGGGUGAUUUGCGUAGAACUAAUUUUUUUAUUUCAAAUUUAUAGUACUGUAAAAAGAUAAGGUUGAUUGUACCUUCGGUGGGUAUUUCUGGAAUCAGCAUCAUGCCUCAAAUGAUAUAAAUGAUUUAUUUUAAAGGAGGUGUCUGGAAUGAUAAGGAAUAGAUUGGUUAGAAAGUGUCCUCCCGAUAUGUAUUUUAAGUUAACGAUGGAAGUUUUAAGGAUAUUUUUUGAAAUUACAAGAGAAAAUAUUAUGGUCUACAACAACCAAUAAAAAAUAUUUGAAAAAUUUUACAUGAUGGGGAAUGUUGGUUUCUAUUGAUUCAAAAGAAAAGAGUUUCAUGUUCCAUUUUUGAAAUAUCAAACGAAUAUGACUUUGAUAAGGUGGCUAAAUUAACAAUGGAUGAUUUGCAUGGAACUAAUUUUUUACUUCAAAUUUAUGGUACUGUAAAAAGAUAAGGUUGACUGUACUUUCGGUGGAUAUUUCUGGAAUCAGCAUCAUGCCUCACAUGAUGUAAAUGUUUUGUUUUAAAGGAGGCGUCUGUGGUGAUAAGGGGUAUCAUAUCGUGCUUUAGAGAAUUUGUCAAGGUGAAAAUUUACCACGCUGAUGUAUUAGGUAACAAAAUUUUUGUGAUUGGGGGAAAAGUGAAAUUAUUGUUGGCUAAAUUUGAUUACAGAAAUAUGGAUAAAAAAGAGUAGAAAAGCCAUAGAUUACUUGAUACGAGUUGUCUGCAUCAAAUGUUCAACAACACAUUACUACGACCUCCUCCUAGAUUUUUAACUGCUUAAUAUAUGCUAUUAAUGUGAAAGAUUUACUACAUCCAAAACUCUAUUAUCAUCCUUUCCUCUUGAUGUAUGAAGAGUGUCAGAAAAUUUUUAUACGUGUUUAUUCAAGUAUGAAAGAUAGACUAAAGCAUUCAAAAAUCUAACAAUGGGUGAUUUGCGAGGGACUAAAUUUUUUAUUUCAAAUUUAUAGUACUGUAAAAAGAUAAGGUUGAUUGGACCUUCGGUGGGUAUUUCUGGAAUCAGCAUCAUACCUCACAUGAUAUAAUGGGUUUGGUUUGAAGAAGGUGUCUGAGAUGAUAAGGGGUAGGUUGGUGUGAAAGUGUCUUCCCGAUCUGUAUUUAAAUUUAAUGAUGGAAGUUUCAAGGAUAUUUUUUGAAAUUACAAGAAUAAAUAUUGUGGUCUAAAUCAACCAAUCAAAAAUAUUUGAAAAAUUUUUACAUGAUGGGGAAUGUUAGUGUGUAUUGAUUCAAAAGAAAAGAGUUUCAUAUUCCGUAUUUGAAAUAUCAAACAAGUAUGACUUUGCUAAGGUGGCUAAUUUAACAAUGGGUGAUGUGCGUGGAGCUAAUUUUUUAAUUCAAAUUUAUGAUACUGUAAAAAGAUAAGGUUGACUGUACUUUCGGUGGAUAUUUCUAGAAUCAGUAUCAUGCCUCACAUGAUGUUUUGAAGAAGGUGUCUAAGGUGAUAAGGGAUAUCAUAUCGUAUUUUUGAGAACUUGUCAAGGUGAAAUUUACCACGAUAAUGUAAUAGAUAACAAAAUUUUUGUGGUUGGGGGAAAAGUGAAAUUAUUAUUGGCUAAAUUUGAUUUCAGAAAGAUGGAUAAAAAAGAGUGGAAAAACCAUAGAUUACUUGAUACGAGCUGUCUGCAUCAAAUGUUCAACAACACACUACUACGACCUCCUCCUAGACUUUUAGCUACGGAGUAUAAGUUAUUUUGUAAUGUGAAAGAUUUACUGCACCAAAAACUCUAUUAUCAUCCUUUCCUCUUGAUGCAUGAAGAGUGUCAGGAAAUUUUCAUAUGUGUUUGUCCAAGGAUGAGAGAUAGACUAAAGCAUUCAAAAAUCAAUAUUGGACAUUGGACAUGUAGAAUCCGACAAGCUAACCAACCUAUUUGUAUUGUUGUGCUUAAUUAUCCUGCCAUUGAGCGGCAAAGAAAAGUGACGAAACUACAAAACUAACUAAGUUUGGCAAGUCCACCACCAGUGAUUGGCUCACACGAUUACAACGAUGACUUUUGUCCUAUAUAGAUUUUUUUAAAAAUUUUAGUGCUCAUAUUGAAAAUCCUGACACACUCAAUAAUUAUUGGCAGCUAAUAAGAAACUUUAAUUCAAAUUCGUCAUUUUGCCUGAAAGAGAUAUAGCUUUGGCAAGUAAUUUAGAGGGUAAUUAUCUCAUGAGAAUUUACAACAAUGCUAUUUUUGAAGACUUAAAGUUUUGAAACCUGACUUAAAAGUUAUAUUUUAUGAAUCUUACUCUUGCAUUCUAGCAAGUUAAGCUCUUUCAUGUCUUCUGCGAGACAAAUAGAUGGGUUAGCUAAGUUAUGGACAAAUUGGAUUAAAAUUUUAUAAUUUUUGAAAAAUUGUCCUUGCUAUAUAUUUUUUGCACUAGAUGAAAACUUGAGAGGAGAAAUUUGUUUUCCUUAUACUACCGAGUGCUAAAGUAAUCUAGAAAUAUCAUUGAUCUUCAUUCCCUAUUUGCUUGUCUUUAGUUAGUUUUUUGAGGAUGUCAUAUCAACAACUGCUAAAUCGAUUGAUGUAAUUGUGUCAAUUAAGCUGUAAACAUCCGAACUUGGCAUAGGGUAAAUGAAUGUAAUGUAAUGGUCCUUUUACUUUUUUUCGAAAAAAAUAUUUAUUAGUCACUAUGUAUUGCACACUAUAUCAAUUUAAUUUUGAAAGAUAUUGGUGAAAUGAGCGACAUAAAAGUUCUAGUGUCUCUUGCUUUAAUAGUGACUUUUUUUUAAUCUAUAAUCGCCAGUUCAUAUUGAAUUGAUUAAGAAAGAUUGUAGGGUGGGAAAAAAUUAUCCAUUCAGGUGAAACUCGAUCUGCAACUACCUUUAUUGCAUUGAAAAGUUUGCAUGAUCAUAAGGAUAGUUUCCAAUCUUUGGCUACAAGUGGAACAAAAAAUUUUUGAGAAUUGAAAAUGGGAAAGAGGUGAAGCAAAUUAUUUUGGAUGAAAGAUUUUGGAAUAAUUAUUUGAUUAUGGUGUGAAUAAUGGGUCCACUUAUUCGUUUAUUACUUAUUUGUGGAAUUGAUGAAAGGCUUUCAUUAGGUCAUGUUUAUGAAAAUAUGUUUAGAGCAAUAAAUGACUUCAAAAAUCUGUUUAAAAAUAAAUAUUUGUUAUACAAGCCUUAUAUUAAUAUCAUCAAUGAUAGAUGGGAUAGGGUGUUGAGCAAAAAAAUUUACAUGCUGCAAUUUAUUAUUUGAAUCCUACUUUUCAGUAUGAUAGUCCUACAUUUUUCACACAUCCAAAGAUUAUAAAUGGGUUGUUAGAUUAUAUUGAAACAAAAGUGAAUUAGUAUGAUUUUGCAAAAUUAUCACAAGAGAUUGGAAUAUAUCGAAAAUGGCAAGGAAGUUUUGGACGAAAACUUGCUAUUCUUACUUGCAAGUCGGAUUGUCCAAAUAAUUUAUAUUUUUUCUGACAUUUAUAAUUUAUGAAUUUAUUCUUUACGUUAUCUAAUAUUUUAAUGUGAUAAUGAUAGAGAAUUGGUGGAAGUUAGACUAUAUGAUUGUGAUGCUCCAAAUUUGCAAAAGUUUGCAAUUAGAAUUUUAAGUCAGACAGUUUCUUCUUCUAGAUAUGAACACAAUUGGAGUAUUUUUGAGCUCAUUCACAUUGAAAAAUAAAUAGAAUGGAGCAUCAAAGACUCUAUGAUCUUGUUUAUGUGUACUAAAAUUUGCGCUUGCAAUAUUAGUAUAAUUAGUUUCUCUUUGUCUUUGAUUUUUUUAAUGUACUACUAAAUUUAUAACAAGUGUAUUAUUUUAUAGGAACGAUCAACAAAAGAGAUUUUAUGAUCCCAUUAAUUAUGAAUUUGUAGACAAAAUGAAAUUUUGGGUCGUAAGAGAAAAAAAUGGUAAUUUUGAUUAUGAUGAAUUAGAGAAAAAACUUGAAGAAUUUCCUAAUGAUGAUUUCCAAUCUCAAGGUUGGUUUGACAGGUGUCGAGUUUGUAUAAUAAUAAAUAUCUAAUAGAUAUUCUAAAAAGGAAAACGAUAAAAUAAAGUAGUUUCUUAAUAUGAACAAAAUAGCCAAAGAUUAAUCAUCUGGAGAAAGGAAUUUGAUCUCAGCAACUUUUGAUUUGGAGUUGGAAACUACCAUACUGUGAAAAUCACGAACAUCCCGAUGUUUUACUGCAUAUAAAUCUUUCAAAAAUUACCUAUUUAGCUACUUCUUGUACCACGCUCCUGUAAUUAACACAACUUACCAAAGAUAAGUAAUAUCCACCAACUAAUGCAAUAUUUGGUCAAAAUUAAGGAAAAAUAUUCAUAAAUUUACUAACAAAAUAUACCUUGUCAUGGUUCUAAAUUAAAAUACAUAAUUUUUACUUGUAACAUGAGAUGCUAAAAGUGUAAAAUUGAGUUUUAAAUUUUUCUGUAAGUAUUGAUUAGUACACAUUUGUUGUAUCAUUUAUUUAUUCAGAUGAUGAAAAUGAAGUUGAGAAAGAUAUUGAUUUGGAAGCAUUUCAACGCAAACGCCUUUUGGAUGGUGGGGAUGAUAAUGAUUGGUGAUAGAAACAUUUUAAUUUUUAACUGGAAAUGAUUAGUAGCAUUUAAAUUUUUAGGUGUUUAGUUGUAUUCUAUUCUCUUUGAAGUUUUUUAUUUUUUUAAUUAGUUAUUUUUUUUAUUUGAGUUUGAUGAAAUUUGACUUGUAUCUUUGUUUUAAGUUUUUGACUAUGUUAGGUUAAAUUGAAGAAAUUGUUAAGGUAUUGAUGUUCACAUAUAUGAUGUUACCUUGUGAUGACAAUAAAGGAAGUUUGUUAUAGGCGGUUGACGAAUUAUAUAACUUCAUUUUCUUUUCUCUCAAUCUAAUUUUCUUGCCAAAUAGUUCUUGUUCCUCAACUCAUCAACUCUUAAUCAAGAACCAGGUCCGGGUCCUUCUUCCUCAAAAUUUUCUACUUAGAGAACCCUAAUUCAUUAGAAUGGAAGGAAAGAACGAGAUACAUGAAGCACAGAAAUUACUCCGUGGCGGCGAUUCGCUGCCGUUUGAUGAACUCAUCUCGCAAUUCGCGUCCAAAGUCCAGCCUUCUAACAUCAUUGGCUACUGCGACAACAUAGAGAUUCUUCUCACCAACGCAACUUUUCUUUGUUUCUAAUCUCUCUCUCAAUUAGGUUUAUUCUUUUUAUUUUUUCCUUGUUCGAUAAGAGCCUAUAAAAUCUGGUAAUUGGCCUGUCCUUCCGUGUUAUUGAUUAAGUUUUUUGUAAGCAAAAUUGAGAGUGGCAGUGUAAUAAGCUUUGUAGUUGGGAUAAAGGAAUUCAGUUUUAAUGAUUUUAAUGAAGAGUUAGUCCGAAAGGAUUUAUUUAGAAAACAAAAUAAAGGAAGUUUGUUAGUGAAAGUUUGAAACCAUUGUUGUUGUACUUCAAUUGUUAGAGUUGCUCUGACUUUUUUAUGAACCUUUUAAGAUUGUGGCAUGUACUUUAAUUAACAUUUGGAUUACGCUUAUUAAUCUUAUUUAUGUUUGGCACAAGUAUUCAUAAAUAUCUUGUCCUAAAAGAUGAUGGAAGUUUGUUAGUGAAAGUUUGAAACCAUUGGUCUUGAGAUUGUUGUUGUACUUCAAUUGUUAGAGUUGCUCUGACUUUUUUAUGAACCUUUUAAGAUUGUGACAUGUACUUUAAUUAACAUUUGGAUUACGCUUAUUAAUCUUAUUUAUGUUUGGCACAAGUAUUCAUAAAUAUCUUUUCCUAAAAGAUGAUGUCUUUAAUAUGAGAAAAUAUUACCAGUGGCAUUCUGCUAACAUAUGUUCCCUGUAAAAAAAAAAAAAAGAGAGAAGCAUUUUUACUGGUUGGUUGAACCAGUUGUAUCGUUAACAGUUCCCCUUACGGUUCAUUGGCUGGUCUAAGUUUAAAAACAUUAGUUGUUGAUUAUCUAUUUUUAUUCCUUUCUUUAUUAAUUGCAAUGUCUUUCAAUGGUAAUCUAGUUGUCAAUCUAUGUAUCAUGGCAGUUAUUGGUUAUCUAUUUUGAUCCCUUUUUUUAUUAAUUGCCAUGUCUUUCAAUGGUAAUCUAGUUGUCAAUUAUCUUCAAAUCAUAGGAUUGUAUGGUAGGGGAGCAAAAUGUUUACCUUUUCAUUUCAAUAUUCCAAUAGGUAAAUUAGAAUGAACUUUCAAGUGAUUUCUUUUGGUUUGAUGUCAAAAUGUGCAAGAUAUAUGCUAAUGAUUGGGGUACAAAUUGUCCAAAUACUUGUACUUAAUAAUAUCCAAGAAGUGAUUUUUCCAAAAAAAAAAAAAAAAAGGUCAAUCCAAGCAAAAAAGUUUUUCAGAAAUAACAAAUUUUGAUAUACAACAAUCCAUACGAUAGGUCUUGUUUUUUAAAUACAUCAGCAUUAAAAUUUUUUUAAAAACCACUCCAAAAGCACCUAAGCCAUAUGUGUAACUUUUCUCUGGCUUUGCAGAGAAAGCAACUUAUGACUUUAGUAAGUCUAAGGAUAUAUAAUGUAUCUCCAAUCAAAACACUAAGAACUACCCAACGGCCAAGGAUAGGUCAUUGCAUGUUGCUCUUACUUUUUGUUGGGGUAUUUUAAUAAAAAUUACAAAUAUUCCAUAAUUAUUUAUUAAUAUUUUCGAUUACAAAUUCUAUACAUUAUUACGUAAAUAUGUAACGGCUAUAAUGGUUAAAUAGGCAUACCAGCUAUAACAAUUAACCUAUUAAAUACGCAACAGUUAUAAUGGUUAAAUAGGCAUAACAAUUAUAAUGGUUAAAUGACUUUAUAAAUUUUGAAUUGACUGUUAUAUAAUUAAUCUAGACUAUUAUGUUUUAUAACCGAAAUUUCAUUAUGACUACUCGUUAUUACCUAUUUGUAACCCCUAUAUUUCCUUAUACUAUAUAAGAAUGAGUUUAGGGCAAAGAAAAUACAUCGGUUGUUAAAUAUAUAAUUACAUAAUAUAGCAUUGGAGUUUUGUUAAAUUUUUGAUAAUGUAGUUCGGACAGACGCAAAUAUUUUAAUAUCUCCCAUUAAUGAUUAAUUCUUAUCUGCUCACCCAUUCUAUGGGAAUAAUGGGACAUAACAGAAAUGAAAAAGGGGAUUCUGAUCGCAGAUACAAACUACCUAGGCACAAAACUAAAGAAGUCCAGAUUAAGUUGUUCCUUUUUUUAUUUUAACCUAACCUAUAUUAACAUUAAGAGACUUAAUUCUAUUGAGUUUGAGUCAACUUUAUUAGUACCAAAUAUAGUUAGAAUUCAGAAAUCCAUAGAAAAAUUAAUAAAUAAUUAGACUACCCUAUUUACGAGAUAAAGAAUAAUAGAUAGAAUCGUUGAAAUUUUCAAUUUUGAUAAAAUAGAAAAUAGAUAUGGGACAGAGGGUUUUUCUAAAUAACUAACUUCUCUAAAUUAGGAAGAUUUUGAACAUAUAAUGAAAAGAUCACUCGCCCUUUUUGAAUUUGAAUUCAAACGUGUGGAAACUUAUAAAUAGAGGUUCUAUCAGUAAAAUUCUUACUUCAAUUGGGUUCUAAAUCUAUGUCCUACGAAGGAAUUUUUUUUACUAUCUUUAUCUUUCCAUUACUACAAUAUACAAUAUAUUAUAGAGAUGUAUUAUUAAUAACGUAUUUCAUAUGGGGGAAAAAAUGAUGUUAUGUGAGAUUUCUAUCUCACUCCAAUAGUGUAGAUUGGAGUACAUUAUAGGAACGAAAAAUUGGGCUAUUAUAUUCUGAAAGCUACUUGUUGAGACCUAUUACAACGGAUUAUAUACUGUAGGGUGCAAAUCGUUUUAAAUAAAGUGACCUAAUCCGCCCCUUAAUCCACGCCAAACUAACUUUUAUAGUACAAAUUAUUGGCAUUUUCUUCACGCAAUAUUGAGGUAUGAGAUUUUCGCUAAUUUCCUUGUUAAGUUUAAUUAGAAAAAUUAUUGUUACUUGUAUGAUUAUUUUAGUCCAGAACCAACACUUCUCCUGGUUGACUUCUUGUUGCUUUUUUUAUAACUCUAUAUUGAAACUACCUAAUUGCAAGUAUAUGUGUUUUGCCCUUUUUCAAGAUUGUUUUUAUAUAUUAUAAAAAAAAAUACAUGUUUUAUAUAAGCAUUCUUAUGAUAUAACUCUUAGUAAAAUAUGAAUCUUUUUUAAUUCAAGAUUAGCAGUGGAAUGAACAAAGACUACAAUGUCAAGGUGGGAGCUUCCUAAAGUAUGGAUACAGCUUAAUGACCUCUACUACUAAAAAAACAUAAUCAAUAAUCAAUAAAGGGCAAACAAAUGGGUUCAUUCUUAUUAGGAUUCCAAUUAAUGUCAAUAUGUUCUUAUUUUUUAUUAAGUACUAUUGGGUUUGAUCCCAUUGAGGCCUAAUCUCAAAUAUCAUAGGGUAAAUGAUGUUGGCACUCCCAAAAAAGCUUUUGCAACUCCUUAGAUACUAAAUUAUGAUUUAAUGAGUGAAAUUGUCAUUAAAUUCACUUUUGCCCUUAUUUCACCAAAGUGGUAUCUUCUAUUAGGAUUCAAACAGCUAUUGAAAUAUCAAAUACACAACAAUUUAAUGACAAACAAGUCAUAAGUAUGAAAAAUAAAUGACACACAAUAUUUAAUGUGGUUCGACUCCAUCAAUGAGUCUAUGUCCACAAAGAGAAACCUGUACUUUAUUAUGAGAGGAAAAUUCUAUAUAAGAAUAUAACUUGAACCCAAAUUCAAACCCUUGUAUAUUAUCUCUUAUCUUCCAAGAAUCCUCUCUCCAUGUAUAAGGUUAUACGUCGUUCUUGUGUGUCCCUUGUGUGCCCCUGUGUAGUAUGCCAACUCAAUUAUUUAUAGAGAAUAUUAUUUGGCCAAAAAACCAAAUAACAACUAAAAACCAAUGCUAAUUCCUAAACUUAUACAAAAUAGGAAAUACUUUCUAAAUUCUAAAUAAAAUAAAAAAUUCUCAACAACGAUUUCAAGUAACCAAAACCAAAUAGGCAACUAGUGGAAGCCAAUUAGGAAACUAGUUACUUCCACACAAAACAAAAAAUCUGUUUAAAAGAAAUUAAGCCAAUUUUCUAACAAAUUUCCAUCUUGACAAAUAUUUCUUUAGCAACCAUUUGCUUUCAAUUAUCAAAUAAUAUAAUACUAAACUACACACCCGAACCAAUGCAGUCCUGAUACUUAAUUGAUUCAAUCGGCAAAUGAACAUAUGUAGUUAUCUCAAAUCCAAUUUUCAAUUGACUCGUGAGAAGAAGUCUCAAUUCACCAUCUCCCUUUUUAAAAUUUCUUCUCAUCACUACUUGUAACUUGAGAUUCCCUUCUGUGAGCUCUAUUUUUAAUCAUUGGGGCAACUAAAUGGUAAAAUCACCACACAUCUUCCCAUCUUCAGGGUUGUUUUGCCAUGUGUGGUUUUCAAAACUCCACCUGCAACGUAAAACUCAUAGCCAUUAGAGUCUUCUGGCAUUUGAAAAUUAAAUUCUUUUAUUUCUUUAGAACAUAUGCUACACCACCUAAAGAAUAUAAUUCGAAUCCAGAAACCAUCCGAAAUGAAAUAUCAACCGUUGGAGAUGUGAGAAAACCUCCGUCAAUUCAUGUCCAAAAAUCGACAUUGAACUCCAUCUUUUUCUUGGCCCUUGGAUCACCUAUCUAAAUUUAUUGUCAAGUGUUUUCAUGGUUUUCGGCUCCUAAUCAUUUACCAUCAAUGCUUCUUGUUAAGCCAUUGAAACAAGGAUAUAAAUUAUUAAAUUGUUCAAUUGGUAAUAGCCACCAAUCUACUUAAUCUCAAUGGUAAACAUGGAUCCAACCAUAAAUCCUACUCUAAUAUCAGUUUGUUGGGAUCCACUUACUCGUGAGCAGCCCAAUCUCGUAACUUGGUUCUGAUACCAGUUGUUAGGAUUCAAACGCGGAAUAAACAAUUAUUGAGAUAUCAAGUACACAACAUUUAAGGACAAAUAAGUCACAAGCAAAAAAGAUAAACGACACACAAUAUUUAAUAUGGUUCGACUUUAUCAUUGAACUUACAUCUACGGAGAGAAAUCCGUUCUUUAUUACGAGAGGAAAACCUUAAAUAAGAAUACAAUUUGAAUCUAAAUCCAAACCCUUGUAUACCAUCUCUCGUCUCCCAAGAAUGUUCUCUCACCCCCAUCUAUAAGGCUAUAUGUCGCCCUUGUGUGUCCCUUGUGUACUCGUAUGUAGUAUGCCAACCUACUUAUUUAUAGAGUAUAUUAUUUGGCCAAAAACCAAAUAACAACAGGAAACCAAUGUUAAUUUCUGAAUAUAUAUAGAAUAGGAAAUAACUUCUAAAUUCUAAACAAAAUAGAAAAUUUUUUGACACCUACUUCAAGUAAUCAAAACUAAUUAGGAAACUAAUUACUUCCACAUAAAACAAGAAAUCUGCCUAAAAGAAAUUAAACCAUUUUUCUAACAUCUUUUUCCUUUCCAACUAACCAAGUAAUGCAACACAUAACUUGCAAUGUCCAUUAGUGGCCUGUAAUUAAAGUUUAUGAUGAUAGUGGUAUUCUUGUAAUUUUCAAUAUUUAUAUGGUAAGAUAUACAAGGAUAAUGUCAAAUAUACUUGUUGAAUUUUAUUGUUGAUUAUUUGUGAGUCAUUUUCUUCUGGGCUUAAAAAAAUCCAAAUAAUAAAUUAAGGAGUUGAAUGUGUCAUGUAUUAUGAGAUAGAUUUUAUCAAGUUUGGUGAUGAUUGUUGGGACAGGGGCGUAGUUUACACUAUAAUUGUGGUUAUUCUCAGUGGAAUUUGGAUUUUUUUGGGGAAAAUUAAGAAUUAGAUUCCCAAAAUAUCCAUUUAUAUACACACACAUCUAUAAAACCUUACCAUGUUAAUUAAAUUGAAAACUUUGCUAUUGUUAAAAGUAUAUCUCCUAAAAUCAACAUGAUAAGUGGAGGUAAGAUACUGUGACAACCCCACCUCCCCCUAAGGCGAACCAAAGGGUUCGGCGGGCCGUCUGCCCAACUCUCGCCGGGACUCAGUCGUUCACUAAAGUUCUCGAUUAAAUUACAAGAUAUAUCUCAAAUUUACAUCAAAUUCUCCAAUAAUUACAUGUCAUAAGCGAAGCGGAAACAAUUCUCAACUAUACAUAAAAUGAUUCCAAAUCUAAACUGUACAAGAUAUAUGCCAUCCAGUCACGUGAAUAAGUAUUGCAAGCCUUCUUUCGCCACGAGCCCUGUGGAGGGGAAUAAAAUAUUUUUGGGGUAAGCUAGAAGCUCAGUGAGUAACCAAUAAAAUCAGUAAUCAAAUAUAUUUCACAAUCGUUCAUUUCAAUGAUGUCAUGAAUCAGUAAUCAAAUGUACGUUUAUUGCUCUCAUGAGCAAGUGAAAUCAUUGUACUUAAACACCCAACGCUCAAAAAGAUCUUUUAACGUUAACGUUGAACAGUAAGAGGGAGCAACGUUGGUGCUCCAGAUCAUGUCACAAACUCACGAAAGUGGUGGAGACGUUGGCUCCAGGUAAAUAGUAGAGGAGACGUUGGUGUUCAGCACAAGACUCCCCAAGAACUCAUUUAAGCCAAAUCAUUUCAUGGACUCACAUGCCGGCACACAUGAUAUGUAAACGAGUAAAUAAUGCAAGAAACACUUCGUAAGUAACUUUGGAAACAGUUUAGGGUCACUCACCAACUAGGGCUCUUAAUUCUCAUCCAUCAUAGACAAUUCCUCGAUCAAGUCCAAGCUCUUCAUUCUACCAAUAAUUAACCCAAACUCACAGCGAUUAAACGUUCUCAAAGAUUGGACAACACUUCCCUUUAAAUUCCUUAUUUUCCAUCCUACAAGACAUUACAAAUCACAUCUCAACUCAACUCAAUCACAAUAAAGCCCCAAAGUCAUACAUAAAAUCAUCUCAUUUCAAUAGCCGUUCAAUAGGUUCAAAGUCAUUCAAGUACAAAAUGUAGCUAGGAAAAUGACCGGAAAUGAAAGUUAAGCCCUAAAAUCCAAAAAUAGUUUUGACGUCGUUUAGUAUAUUGGACACAACCAGCGCUACGAUUAACAGAUGGAUGUGAAAUAUACACCAUUUUGAAGCUAAAAGAAAGGGCUACAAUGUUGAAGAAGGCCACUCAGUCCAGUUUACAAUGUAUCUAGGUCAAAUUUACCAAAACAACCCCAGAUUUUCCAGUUCGGAGUUUACUGUGGCAGUCCUGAUUCAUUCGAUCAUAUCUCAGCACAUACAACUCCAAUUCAAGUGAUUCCAAAGCCAUCUGAAAGCUAAGAUACAAAGAUAUAAUUCUUAAGAAGAUAUCAACAACCAAAUCAGUAGUAUUCCCAUUCAAACUAACCAAUUACAGAAGCUGAUUAUCAGCUUCGGACAGAAACAGGGCAGCAGGGGUAUUUUGGUCUUUUCACAGGCUACGUUACUCCGAUUGAGUUAAAAUUUUUCAGGCAACUAUAAAACAUCAUUCUCUACAACUUUCAUGUUUUAAUCCAAGGCUAAUUCGGCCUCCAUCCUAUCCAAACAGUGUCGGGAAGAAUGAGGUUCAAUGAAACCCUAAUCUGGAAAUUUUCCAUAAUACUACUUCCAACCAUGAAAUAUGCUCAUAAAUUACCAAAACUACAACUUUAAACCACUAAUUAGCAAUUAAUUGAAGUAAAGAGGAUGUUCUAGGCAAAAUACCUUAAAACCACAAGAAAGGUAGGAGCUUAAUCUUUCGUCCUCCAAAAUAACUCCACCAACACCUUUAACCUUCCCUAAUGAUCACUUGUAUGGUGUGGUUUGUGAUUUGGUUGGUUAAAACUCAAGAUUGAAGCUAACAAGUGGAGUAGAAAAUGAAGUUUUUCUCUCUUAUUUUGCUCCUCUUAACAACCGGCCAUGACAAGAAAAAUGGGAGAAAAAUUGAGUCAAAAUUGCUUUUAGUAAAGUUAGAAAAGUCUUGGUCAAAUUCAACAUCUAAUGGUUUUGUGACACUUGGCACCUCUAAGCUUUAAUCUUAUUUUCUUGUCUCUCCAUACUAAUCCAUAUAGGUAACUUCUAAUUCUCUCUUAGCACCUUGUAAAAUAAGAUCAUUUAAUACAAACUCCAACAAGUUGCCAAAAUAUAACGCAUUUACCGCACUAGCGGGUCCCACGUCGAUAAUACACUUCAAACUUAACGUGGACUAACUUGUAUCAAGAAAAUGAUUUGAAAACUAUAUUCCCUUAUAAAAAUGUAUAAGAAAUUAAUAUAUUGAAGAAAGACAUAAAAUUAUAGACAAGAAAACAAAAUAAUAUCUCGAAAAUAUAUAAAAAUUUUCGAGUUCUCACACUCAUUCUUUCAGAGCGUUACAAAUACAAAUGUAGUAAAACAUCUAUCAUAUACAGGUCAUGGACAACUGAAAAUUUGAAUAGAAUUUUUUUUGUUAUUAAGAUUACAUGAUAGUCUUUUUUUGGUAAUUAUAUUAUGAUUUUGUUUUUACAUGAAAUGGUUUUAUUUUAAAUUUUACAAUAGAUUCCAUGGGCAUGUAAUUUUUUCAAAUGGUUGGAUCCUAUUUUUAAAGACAUGCUAAAAAAAUAUCGGAUCUUCUUUUCAAGUAAUUUUUUAUUACUUAUUAUUACUUUGAAGUCAUUAAUGUUUCUUUGUUAAACCAUUAGUGUUAGCCGUUGGUCAAGAGGGAAAAGCGCGACAAAAAUAACACCAAAUCUUAAGGGCGAGUGCAAAUAACACUAAAUCUUAGGAGGCUUAGUGGUUUUAAGCUCUGUUUUUAAACUCUGACCGGACCGGUCGAUCCGACCGGUCAAAUCGGGAACCGGUCAGUUGUCCAGUCUGAAUUGACCUUAAAAACCGAAAAAAUAAAAACUCGAUCAAAUCAGGUCAAAAACCGGAUUUGACCCAAUUUGACCAGAAAAAUAAGAACCGGGCAAGUCAUUUGCAAGCCCCUUCGCUUGGUUUGGUUGGGGAGUUUCGGGCUAGGUACAGAGCAAAGACUAAAAGUGGAAGUCCAAAAAGGACAAACUUGCAGAAUCAUCUUAUCAGAAGCCAUAGACUAUUAGGACACUCCUUUCUCAUCUUCCAGCAAAAUGGGCCCCAAGGUCGAUGGUCUGUUGUCCAUAAUCUCUUCACACUCCAUAUCAACCUCGACUUCUCCAUUUAACUUACAACUCUCUUUUAUCUGCCGAGGUUGGCACCAAUUGCAGGCUUUGGAACCACUUCACUCUCUUUUUUUUUUUUUACUAUUUUUUGAAAAGUCAAAAUAUUUUUAGUAUUAUGUUUUGACCUCAAGGUUGUUAAAAAUUAUUAAUAUAAUCCAAAUAUUUCAUACUUUAUAAACAUUUUCGUAAAGUUUGGUAUUAUUUUUCAAUUAAGUCCAUAAUUUUAAUUCUAAACUUGUUAAUGCUCAUUAAAUAAUAUAAAUUGCUACUUGAUUGUUCUAAUUUCUUUGUAUUUUCUUGUCAAAUAUAUUUAAAACAUCAUAUAUAUAUGAAUAUACCUUUAUUAAUAUUAACAUGUUAUUAGGUAUUUUACAUAUCAUAUUUUAAUUUUUAAAUAAUUUUUAUUUAUGACAUCAUCCGGUUCAACCCCGAUCGAAUCCGAUUGAACCCAUUGAUCCCGACUGAGUCGAUACCCGGUUCGGUUUUGAAAACAUAGGUUUUAAGUUUUAACCCUAUCAGCACCUUAUUCGAAUCAUCUACUCUCAAACAUAGUUGUCAAAAUCGCGAUCCGGAUCGUAGGAUCGUACGAUCCUACGAUCCGGAUAAUCAAAAUCGAUCCGGAUCGUAUGCAGAGUCGCAAAUCAUAUUAAUUUUUGCAGGAUCGCAUAGAAUCGUAGCAGGAUCGUGCAGGAUCGUGUAGGAUCGUGUAGGAUCGUAGGAUUGUAGGAUCGGUAGGAUCGUACGAUCCUACAAUUUUUUUUGUAAAUUUGUGAAAUACGAAGCUCCAUUUUGCAAAUAAAUAAAAAUAUUUGUGGUAUAUUUAUAAUUUAUCAAAGAAUUGCAACCUUUAAUUGCAAUUAAGAGCUUUUGGUAGGAUCUUACGAUUCUACGAUCCGAUCCUGUGAAACUAAAAUCGAUCCUACUUAGGAUCCCGAUUUUACAAAUCUUGCUCUCAAAAUGUGUACAUAAAGAUCAUAAUCUGUUUUGAAUCCACUGAUGGCCGACCAUUUAAACUUGAUGGCUUGGAAAUACUUGGGCCUUAGCCUAGAGGCCCAGAGACAACGAUAAGAUUUUCUGUUACAAGAUUAUUGAACUGUACCAUUACCACUUCGCAUGCCAUGUCAGCCCAGAUUGAAAGUUCUUAAAUGACACGACUGGCUUCAUCAAUUCGUAACGUCUAAUUGUAGAAGUAGCAUUUUAUCUGAGAAAAAAAAAAGGACCAAAAAUUUUCCGACAAAAAAAAGGAAUUAUUUUCUUGUACACCUUUAGUGUAAGAAUUUCAUUACACUAGCAGGACUGAAUACAAGCUACAUAAUCUCCAUUCAAAUUUAAAAAUUCACUUAUUAUAUAUGUGAUAUGCAUUUAUACCUGUCAAUAUUAAAAAAAAAUCUCUACAUUGGUAGAGCAUAAAAAAAAAUCCCAAAAAAAGGACUAAAAUUCCUUGCCCAAAUCAACAAUUUAUUGCCAAUUGAUUUUCACAAUUAACAUAUAGGUCCGGUUGACUAAGGGAGGUGAUCAGGUGAACCGAUCCCAAGUCAACUUGCCCAGAUUAGAUCUGGCGAAGGCCCAAUUACAAGGCAUUUCUUGCAUUUUCAUUUAUUGCGCGUGAUUGAAGUUGUCACGAUCUGAUCCAUGCCUCCCAAAUAUUAUUUGUCAAAAUAGUCAUGCAUUAUUUUUACCCCCCCCCCGUCCUUUCUUUCUCCUCUUGUUGCUUCUCUAUUUUUUAUGCUUUUUUGAUUUUUUUCCAUAAUAUGUGUGCAAUAAUCCUUUCUUUUAUUUUUUACUUUCAUUCUUAAAGUUUUGAAAGAUAGGUAUAACAAGUGUUACCAAUACUCGAAAAGUUAAAAAGAAAACUCGAUUCUUAUUCGAUGUUAUGCUUUUAUUCACGAAACUGUUAAAGUUCUAUAAGUCUCAUGUUUCAACUUAGAGUUUUGGGAUUCUACCCAUUUAUUUAUAUUUAAAUUACAACAAUUUAUAAAAUCAUCCAACCAUGUCGUUGCUUUUCUUUUGAUCUCUAGAUCAAACUACUAAAUAUUGUUAUUCUUUUGAGAAAAUUUAAUAUUCGAUCAAUAUCUGUGAACUAUUUGAACAAUAAAAAAUGGGCCAGAAUUGCAAUAAAAUUUUCAAAAGUUAGGCAAUUUCACAUGAAAUUUUAUGUAUAACUAAUCCAAGUGAUCAAACAUACUAAAUGGUAUUAAUUUUCAAAAAUAAUUUUUAAAUUAAUUUUAUUAGGGUAUAUUGGAGGGAAGUUCUCUCUCAUGUAACAGAGAUAGCCUAGCCCCUUCAACUUGCAUGUUCCAUGUGGUUCUUUUAUUUUGGUUGGAUGGCAUAAAACUCGGUCUAAGAUAGAAAUUUUCAAUUCAAGCAUUCUUUACUGAAUAUCCUCUUGUUACUUUGUGCAUUACUUUAAAAUCUACUCUUAUGGACAUCCUCCGGCUUCGGAAAACUAGAAUUUAGUAUUCCCAAUUGCCUUUUCUCUAGUUUAUAAAAAAAAAAAAGUUAAUCAGAAAACCAUAUUAACUUAUUUGCAUCAAUUAUUUAUUCCAAGACGUUACAAAAUAGUGAAAAAGAGGAGGCCUACUUCUCUUUUUUUUCUAAUUCAAAAAACAAUCCCAAUGUAGCUUACUUCAUCACAUUAGCUUUAUUUUAAUACGUUGAAGUCAGACUACAUCAAUCUUCUUCUUCUUCUGCUCUAUUCUAUAUGCAAUAAUAUCAAGAAAUAUGGCAGUUCAAAAAAAAAUUUUUUUUCUGUUGCCAUGCUAGCUACAACUACUUUUCUUCCCUUUAGUUUAUGGUAGAUUUAUGCAACAUCAGUUGAAGUAUUCAGAGUAACGUGGACAUAAUUAAGAGGAGAGUACUAGAAAGACUUGAUUACUUGAACCAUUUUGUUUACUUUAGGUUAUUAGAGAUCUUAUAACUUGACGCGUUUGGCAUCCUCCAUGUAGAACAAGAUAGUGUAUUGGUAUUCUAUGCCUUUUAUUAUUAUUAUUGGUGAAUCCUUAGAAAAACAUACUUUUAUGUGUGCUUCAAUCCACUUGUCUCCUCUUGAAUUAUGAAGAAACAUCCCAUAUGGGAUUCAAGAUAAAUUGACAACAUGGUAAAGAAUUAAUGAAAAGAUUGUGCAAUGAGAUGGUUGUGAUGUUUUAUGGUAGGUGACUGAACAACCACCAUGAACUCACUUGCUGUUUCCGUGUACAUUAUUAAAAUUUCUUCUUUAUCUCCUCAUCUCAUCACUUUUAGAUACAUGUCGAAAUUUUUCAACACCUCACUGAUUUUCCUUCAUUCCCAAGUAAGAAUUAUUGCCCCCCAGAUGAGUAUUUUACUCUUCAAAAGAAGUACUACAGCUCAAGUAGUGUAAACGAAAGAAUGAAAUUCAAGAAAAGGAUUGUUGCAUCAUAAUAUCCAUUAACAUGAAUAAUGAGGUGUACAUGUUUCAGAAGCCAAGGAAACAAAAAGGUUAUUUUUCUGCCAAACAAGUAAAGAAUCAUGUAAAUAAUGAAGCAGAAAAUCAAGGGUUGUGAUUAACUGACUAGUGAGAUGGAAUAGGGGCUACUAAGUGGCUAAUAAAUUAGCCCAAUGGAAUAAUAGUUACUGCUGUGGACAUUUCAAUUGUGAAAUGAAUUAAUGAAUCUGUACACUUGAAUUAAGGCUAGAAAGCAGGAUGGUCAGUUAGAGCAUCCCCACCAGUGGCUCAGGCUUGUGGUUGCUUGCAAUCCACCAAGGGCUGAAGUAGACUUGGUCACUGCCCUCUUCUUCAGCAGGAGCAGGCAAGUUGAGAUCCAGGAAGUCUCUGAUUUCAGGAAUUUGCUUCUGAAUUACAAUUCCUUGAUUGCUUUUGGCCUCAGCAGCCAAGUGUGCCCUCUUGUGACCACCUAAGGCUUGACCUGAUGGGAAAAGUUUGAAGCAUAUUGGGCAUUCAUGGCUUUUGUCUUUCUUAAAUCCAUAAUCUGUAUGAACAGUCUUGAUCUCCUUGGACCCAUAAUCUGUCAUUUCGACCUUUUCUUUGGAACCAUCGGUGGUGGUAUCAAUAUCCUUGCUGUAGCAUUUGAUCCUCAGUUUGCUGUCAGCAGUUUGAUUUGGGGAGAUUUCAGUUUCAGUGCUGUUUUCACUGCUAUCAAUUUUCGAACCCAAACAGCCUUUCAUCCUCUUGUGGCUAGCCCUGUGACCACCUAAAGCCUGAUAGGAAUGGAAGGCCUUGUUACAAGUAGUACACUCAAAUUUGCUUUUCCUAUCAGAACCCAGAUACAGCAACUCAGAAUCAGAAACACCACAAGCCAGUUUCGUUAUUGAGUAAUCUGCACUCAAUUCUGGAUCAUCAUGCAAAGCGAUGCACCUUCUUUUGCUCAAAUUCUGCUUCUUGGAUUCUGAUUCAGACUGAUUCUUUGGCAAUUCAACUUUAGACUGCUGGAGUUCAGCACCCUCCUCCACUUUAUUCUUUUUAAUAAAGACAUCUCCAAGAAAAGCAUCAGUUGAAACUUCUGAACUCUUCACUCUGAACUCUUUUCUCGACAUUCCAGAAGCUUUACUUGGUUCUGGUUGCUUAAUCUUGGACUUCAUCUUAGAGUCAAGACUAGAGGACUUUAAAAUCUUGCUCUCAGUUUUACAAUCUUGCUUAUUUUGAUUUGAUGAUCGAGCUUCUAAGAACUCAGAAUUAUAAUCAGAGGACUCACCCCCACCAACCGAUUUCAGACCACCCCAGUUACUCGCAUCCCUCGAAAGCAUUAUCAAACUCAUAGCAACCUCUUCUUGUUGUUCUUGCUCAUGAUUCUCAGUUACGCAGGGUGAAGGUUGUGCAAUUGUUAAAGGAGCAGUAUUAAUAUUUUUAGUAGCUUUGUACCUUUUGAUUGUUCUUGAUCUCUGCUUUCGAAUUGGAGCUGCUGCUUCAUUAUCAGAUUGGCUAUCCAUGACCAGCUUUUGAUUAGCAGCAGCACUGUUCCAAGAAUCGUCCUCCACACUGGCACUGUUAUUUGAUAAUACUUUAUCAGAGUGGCACUUCAUGUGACCAAACAAGGCUUUCCAAGAUGGAAAACAUUUGCCACAUUCCUUGCAGACUUUGCUAUCAAGUGAAGUAUCUUCACUUGAAUUUGCAGCAAAUUUACUUGUUUUCUUGGGAUUCUCUCGAAGGCUGUAACCAUUUUGAGCUUCUUUAGAGGAAUCAUCUCGAUUACCAGUCUUGAAAGAUGGCAACCUUUUCUUGCCAUGCUUCUCGUUGGAUUCAGCUGGAAUAUUGAUCAGAUGGGACCUCAUAUGACCCCCUAAAGAUCUACCACAAGGGAAGCUUUUGUUACAAAACUUGCACACAUGCUUCACUUCUUGAUCUUCUUCCAUCGAAUUGGAUUAAAGCUCAAUGAAAAAGAAUCAGAUCAGACAAACAAUAAGAAUCGCUGAUAAUACUCAAUCUGGAAAACAACCACAAAAAAAAAAAGAAGCUACAGCUUUGAUCUCAUUGUACUGAACAACAACUGAUCAAUGGCUUUUAAUCAAACAGAGCAAACAGAUCAAGAAACAAAGCUAGAAAUUGAAAUCUGAGCUGACAAUUCAAGUGGGGUUGAGUUUCAAUAUCUUCUCCAAUCUUGAACUGAUCGAAGAAGAAAAGAAUUUUUGGUCAAUAACAAGAUCUGAUGAGCAGAAGAGUUAGGAAAUAGCUGGCGAAUAUGUAGUGGUAGUGAAGUCUCUCUCCAGCACUAGUAGUAGUAGCUCAAUUGGUUAGUUGAAUAAUAGUAUUUGAAGCAAAAAAAUUAAAUAUUAAAAAACAUCAAAAAAUAUGAAGAGAAGGGCUAUGCUAAGUUGCUAACCUUGUUGCCAAUGAUGGCAAUGAACUAGCAAUCCAACCAGGCAAAAGAAAGAAUUGAAAGAGAGUAGUUUAUACUCUGUCUUUCUUACAUAGGAAUAAACACAGACUAUAUUUGGAGGACAAAUCCAUGCAUGGAGGCAAAGAUAAAAAGAGGUAAAGAAGAGAUAGAUAGAGAUAGCAGCACGUGUACUCAACUGAGAAUUCUACGCCUACAAAUAUCCAAUGGUUGAAAUUUUGUCCAAUUGGAGAUCCCUAUGGCUGAGAAAGCUCCCAAUUUUAAACUAAGAGACUUAACUGCUUUCUAACUAUUCUUUCCUUUGUCUUGCUAAUAAGGAAGCCCAAGACUCCAAGUGAUAAAAGGUUCCACUCUCUGGCCGUUAUUCUUUUGUUUGUUUUCCUUCUCUGAUUAUUUAUAAUAUAAUCUGUGCCGUUGGAUUUUGAGCAAGUACGAUUGUGCUGUGUGCAAUUCAGUUCGAUUUAUUUACUUAACACAAUAUUUGGUGUAUAAUUAUACUAUUCCUUCCGUCACACUUUGAUAGCAUUGAUUUUUUUUUUUUCACACAGUUUAACAAAAAUUAUCUAAAUUUAUUCGAAGAGUAAAUCUGAUAUACUAUUUUCCUAAAAUACGCUUACAUUGAUAUCAGGGAUAUGACUAAUUACUAUACCUUUACAUUAAUUACCACAACGAUACUAUAAAAAGUUGUACCAGUCAAGGUAUAAAUCAAAGCAAUUAAUGAAUAAGGUAGGUUCUACUUGUUGAUAGCAAAAUACGUUAAAUAAGGGUAUUUUAUAAAAGUUACAAUUAAUUAUAUUUUUUAAUUGAAAAGUGGACUAUAAUUUGAAACGGAUGACAAAUAAAAACAAAACUAUCAAAAUGGAACGGAUGGAGUAAAUUGAUAUAUCUAAAUUUAUGAAAUAUUUUAUUUUUGUACGUUAACUUUUUAUCCAAUAAAAAGUUAUUGUGUUAUUGUACACAAAAUAUCGAAAUAGAUACAACAUCAUAAUCGAAACCAUUUUGAAACAUAACCGUAUUAAUCCCAAUCCCGAUAAAAGUACAAUGUAAAGAUCCACAAUGUUGGCAGGUCCCCUUCCAAGGGGUUGCAUUUACUGCCGCUUACUUCACUAGCCAAUUGGACCAGGCCAUGUUAUUUCUCCUGCAUAGUCUAUUCAAGCUUUUGGGGAAGUGAUGGCCAUGAGCUUAGUAAAUUAAUACUCCUUGAUAAUUCAUUAAAAGGAUGGCCAUAAGGUUAGCUAAUUAGUACUCCUUUGGUAAUUCAUUAAAAGAAUUUUGACCUGCAAAACUUGGCAGUUAGGAAUGCAAUUAUAUCUUUAUGAUGUCCUAGUUUACAAGUUUACUAAUGUAUGUAUUAGUUGGACCAUACAUUAUACUAGAUGUCCUACUGUACAUUUUUUAUGGGUUAAGAUUUCUUAAUUUGUAUGUUGCAAUUUAACUAUGUACUAAUAUUAAUUGUUACCUGAUUAGUCAAAAGUUGAAUUAUUCAAUUUGAUUUUUGAAGGGACUUCCAGUCAAUUAAAUUCAAGUUGGCAUUUGGAGUAGUGGUACAAUAUGCCUGCAGCUACAGCUUUCUUCGGUUACCACGUUGAUUCUAAGUGUUGGCACAUUUUUGUUUCUCCUUCCGUUGAAGGCGUUAUAUUUUCCAUUUUGAAAUGUUUUAAAAUAUUUGUCAUGUUGGGAAAGUCAAAAAAUUUUUCAAUCUCUCUUUUAAAUAUAAUCUCCCUUUAAUCAUAUGCAUGUUACCAUAAGAUUCGGAAGAGAAGCACAAAUAUCACAAUCACACAACUAUUUUUAAAAUAUUAAUUUCCUGGAACAUGAUAAAAUAAUUGGGACGGAGGAAUAGGAGUUUGGUCUGAACUUGAAAUUAAGAAUUAAGCCUUGUGUAUGUACAGCCAUAUAAAAUUAAGAAUUAAGCCUUGUGUAUGUACAGCCAUAUAAAGACAUAUUCUUGUAAUUGCUUCUACCGCCAAGACCAACGCUGAAGCAUGUAAUAGUGGCACUUUUAACAUCAAUUUUUUUCCCCACGCAUCUCUCCAAACUCCAUGUUCUCAUCACAAUAAGCUCAAACAUCCUUUCUUUUGGAACAUUCCUAGUUUUAAUCAAUCAAACCAAAUAACCAUUUCAAGUGAGUGAAGCAAAACGUGAGCAUUGAUCUUUUUUUUUGGGGGUCAUCAAUUUUAUUUCACAUACGUCUUAUGAAAGAAGGUGCUAAAAUAAAAUAAAGCAGAAAUAUUUUUUUUUUUUUUUCUAAGAAUCGCAACCCAAACUAAGUCGAGCUCAAGCUCAAACUCCCCAAUUCCAAUGAUGUGUAGUACAAAAUAAUUUGGAACUGGAGUUAAACAAUUUUUAAUAACAAAUAGGUAUGACUAAUUUUGGAUUUUAGUCCAUGGUCGGUAUAAACUUGUCACUUGAUUGCCAGCAAGAAAAAGCUACUAGAGCAUGAGCAAAAUGAGUGACCGGCCUUGAGUUCACAAUCAGUGCCGGCCUUCAUUGCAGUAACCGAAACGUGAAUGUCUCAUUAGCAACAAAUAGUUAAUUAAAUCUUGGCUAUGAAAAAUGGAUAUCCCUUUAGUUGUUGUGCCUCUUUCAGCCGGCAAUUUCUCAAAGUUUAGCUGUAAGUUGUCUAGGAAGAGUUGUUUUAUAUUUGGUUGUUUUAAUGAAGAGAAGCACAUAGGAAUUAGGAAGUAAUUACUAGGAAGCAGCAGCACUUAAUAAGCUUUUUAAGAGUCAAUUCUUUUAUGUAGUCUACAUGUGCAAGCACAUUAUGUAAGCCCUCCCCCCACCCAUUUGGCCGGUAAAGAUACAUGCACUAUAAUUCACUACUACCUUGUGAUUAGCUAAAGAAUCUUACAAAUUGGACAAAAUUUCCAAGAUUCUAGCCUUUCUUGUACUAUAACAUGGGCUAAGUAGAUGGGAGCAAGAAGAAAGAAGAAUAGAAUUGACUGAGUAAAUUAGAGGAUCAACAUAUAUAUAUAUAUACAUGCUUGGAUUUGGGGCAGAAAUUGGCCAGUGGUAAAGCAAUCUACACUAGAUUCUUUGUACACAAUUGUGAGUUUUUUAACCUGUUGUAGCUAGUGAGUUUUUUACCUUCUUGAGAUUCUUUGUACACAAUUGUGAGUUUUUUUAACCUGUUGUAGCUUGUGACUUGUGUUACAACAUACCCUACAUAAUGAACUAAGGGUAUUGUUAGAAUUUUCAAGAUUCAUUUCAAAGACGAAGUAAUAUAUUUUUUGCACAAGAAUAUAUGGUGAAAAGCGGAUAAAAAUAAAAGUUAGGAGAGCAGGCCAGCAGCUGAAGCAACAAGAAGACAGGAAUGGGGAGAUGGCAACUUCACAUGUUGCUUGAAGCUUCCACUUCUAAAGAUACAGAAAUAUCUGGGUGAAAAAUCUUUUAUGGCUCUAUAGGGAAUCCUGACAGCCCAUUUAUUAAGUUACACUGCAAAGCCAAAAGCAACAAACAAUACAUAAUUUAAAGUCUGUUGCUGAAGCUAUAUAUCACCAAAUCUUGAUACACUAGACCCUUCUUUGAAAUUCACUAUAUCCAUUUGGUUAAAUUAGAGAGUUGCCCAACCACUUCUCAUGAAGUGGUUACACCAAUACUAGGGUAUCAAGUGUAUCCCCUUUUUUGGCUUUUGUACUUGUUUUUGUGCAAAUGCAGAAAAGGGAACUCUUUGAUUGUUAUUACUAUUUUUCUCCUGCUUGGACAAGUCGAAUACAUAGGGUUUAUGCUAAACUCGAACUCAAAAUCUCUAAUUCACAAAAAGAUGCUCUGAUUUAAUUGUAUCUCCUUGAAUCCUCAUUACACAUAUAUAGAUGGGCGGAGUUUGGCAAAGGUGCAAAAGCUUUGGCAUAGAAUCUCCCGCUAGCUUCAUAGUGCUAGAGUAUUUUACUAUACGGUACAACUCAAUUUUUGUAUCAUCCACCUAAACUAACUAGAGGAGGUAAGGACCAAGGACCACUCUCUAGGACAUCUACAUCCACAAAUUCAGUUUUCUACUAUUAAUAGUCAUAGCCAGCUGAAAAAUUGCAUCUUCAAGCUGAUAUUAAAAAUGCUCAUCUACACUUGUUUAUUUGUGUAGCACAUCCAAUUGGCAGAAGUGACUUCACUUGUGAGUGAAGUGUAUAGUUUUUCCUAAAAGUGAUGCUCAAAAUUGACAAGCAGACACCUUCCAAGGAAAGUUUGGCCACUCCUUGUCUUCUCCCAUCCCUGGUAACAUUAUUAAGACUAAGAUAAGAUGCUCUACUUUGGCUUUAUGCUUUGGUCAAGCUUUCUCCCCUAUUUUUUCACCCUCCCUCUGUAACCUAACCCCAUGGCCACCAGGGUUGGGUGUGAAUAACUAGAUAGCUAUCUUAACCAAUUAAUCAACUCUUUUACUGCUAGCUAGCUAAUCCAGAAAAACCAAUUAAUCAGACCACUAGACCAUUAUUUUUCUUCUUCUUUCCUCCUCCAUUCUUGUGUCAGCUCGGCCAACUGACUAUAGCACUUUUUACCCUCUUUUAUCCUUUCUAUGCCAAACAAAUUAAAUUUGAGAACCUUACUAAGUAGUGUGAUUUUAAUAUAAUUAUGGUAAAUUAUGCCGGUAGUAGAUCUUUGCCGUGGCAAGAAAACGAAUUCAUGUUUGCAUUAGUAAUUCUAUACAAAGCAUUGUUUAUUUGACUACAUCCAUCAAUAUUAAGUUGUUUGUUUAACCAAAAUACUCAUUCAACCAAUUGGGAUAUGCUUUUUUUAUGACUAAAAGGUAUAUGUUUUCAUCAGUUGAAUAAUUAAAAGUGAAAGUUUUUAUUAGUUGAGUGACCAAAAAUUAUACCUUUUCUAUUAGUUAGCUGACUAUUUAUGCUAAGCAAAAAGUUUAGUAACCAAAAUAAGAAUUCUAAAUACAUUACUGAUUUUUUUUCACCAUUUGCUCUAAAUUCUUAGUAGGCUAAUUCACCCUGACUUUAAAAUGUGGUAACUUAUCCUCUUCGUAAAUUUUUAAACUCAAGAGAAAAUGGUAAUUAAGCUGAAAUUAUUCAAACAAUGAAAGUGUUGAUUGAUUUUGUUUGUUGUUCUAACACAUCCUUUUAUCCCAAGUCGAAGCAAGAUCUAACAGAAGUCUGUGUGUGCUCUCAUUUCAGCCCAGGUGGCGUAGAUGAAUGAGACUGAGGAAACAAAAUAGAAGAGACACGCAAUGCCUCACAAGCAAGUGCCUGUCACUGCUUUGCUGUUUCACCAUGACCUAGAUUAUACCAGUCCCCAUAUAAAAGGAUUAGAACAUAAGAAAGCCCAUUAAUCAUAGGCAUGUCAAGUUUUAAUCAUGUCAUAAAUAUUUGUCUUGGUGGUUGAGGGAGGGUGGGGAAGGAUUCCCUGCUUAAUUGCAGAUCUAAGUUGAGACAAGUCUGAUUGAUUGUUAAUUUUCAUCAAGUUGGAGAAAUUAUAAGGGCAAGUUAGUACGAUGAAUUCACAAGAAAUAGAAAAAAAAUACAUAAAAUGUAUUUAACGGUCCUCUAAAUUAGUCUCAAGACUCUCAUACUUUGUGUAAUUACAUGUACAUGUUUUAUGUUUUUUCUAUGAUUUAUUUUAAAGAGUAGUCAAUAUUUGAACUCUUGACAUCUUACACGAAGAAAAUUGACAAAAACAAGGUCUCAUGUAUCUAUCUGUUAUGCUAAUGGAAUACCUUUAUCAUUUUUCACCACACAAAUAUAUAUACUAGCUAGACCAAUUGUAAAUGCAAGUCAAGAAUAUGUCUUUUCCCAUACUUGUAUAGCUAUAGAUAAACAUUUACCAUAACAAGUAGAUACGCACCAUUGUGUCUUUAUAUAAAAGCCUAAUCAUAAAGGUGCAUGUGUUGCUUUAAACUGGUAAUAAUGGGGCAUGUGUUAGUGAGCAACUAGUCCUCACCUGCAAUGCUUAGGGAACACUCAAUAGAGACCAUAAAAAUGCAGAAAAACAUUUUGUAUUUUGAAUAAUAGAGAAAUUUCUGAUGUGGGCUCCAUUCUUCACCUAGUCUCCGGGAUGGAUCAUAUGGAUGCUGAUGAAGUGGUUUAGAUGAGCUGAGCACCCUUGCACUAUCCCUCUUCACUUAGUUUAUUUAGUUGCUCUUUCAGCUAGCUAAGCAAGAAAUGCCCCUUUACCAGCUGCUUGCAUUCUUUGCACAAAGCCAUGUGGCUGUUGGAAUGAAAAAUCUUUUACUAGAUGACUGUCACUUCCUUAUUUUGGCCAGAAUUAAGGCAUAGAUUUCAAUUGACAAAAUCACAAUUUGAAAGUCAACUUGCUAAUGAUAAUUAAUUAGCUCACUAUGUCAUUAUUAAGUGGAAAAUUGAGGUCCUAGUGGAUAUAUGCUCCUUAUCCAUCAUCUUAAAAUGAAGUUUAAUAAAAAAAUUGCCUACUUUUCUUUUCCCUCUUGUCCUCCCACCUCCAAAGAUUAAAAUGCAAUUAAAGAUUUCUCGCUCGCUCGUAGAGUUGAUUGAAGCUUUAGAGAUCUAGUAAAGAAUUAAUUUGUGGGAGAUAAGACUACUUUUCUUCUCCUCUUGUUUCUUUUGUUACCGCUCCUGUCAGGAAGAGGAAGGUGGGGUGGAGUUGACGUUAGUGAAUAUAUGGUAUAGUAUAUUAAAAAAAGUGUUUUUCAGUGACUAUAAAUGAACAACUCAGUCUAAAACUAUACAUGCUGCAGCUUUCAGUAUUACAUCAACAACUUGGUAGUUGACCAUUAAAAUAUCUGAAAUCUUCUUCAAUGACUUUCAAUGUGGAAAGUGAUCCUGCACGAAAAUGAUUACUCAUAAGCUAUUAGCUAUUAAGUUAAGUGUUAUCAACGCAAAGCACCUGAUCAUAUGCGUAAUCAGGACUCAUUAUGAUCUAUUUGAUUGAUCAACAGUGAGUCAAUCAGCAUGCAAAGGACCGUGGAUCUCCAUCUUCUAAUCCAAAAAAAUAUGAUAAUGUGAGACCUUAAAGUUUUCCUAAGAGAACUAGGGUGACUAAAUUAUAUGUGUGAGCCUAAUACUGAUGUACAACUUGACAUAUCUGUUGUGAAAAAUAGUGGUUGUAUCGUACUUGGAUAUGAUAUUUGAGUCACACUACAUAUAUAGCAGUAGUUUGAAUGAUACUUUUCUUUCUAGUGCACAUAGGACAUGUAGGGGUUGCAAUUAUAGCCUUGCUUCUUCUCUGAUUCUUUGAAUAGGGAAAAGUUGUGGGGAAGUGAUACAUGCAUAUGUAUAUUGCUACUCCGGUAAUAAAAGCAUCUUUUAAAUGGCUAGCAGGAACAUGAAGUGCGAGUCUUACGCACUUUCAUUUCAAAUGAAAAUGAUAGAUGGCAUUAAGCCCACGUCUAGAAUAACUUAUUCUUUGGUGCAGCUCCGUAUUUGCACAAAAAGUUUGUAAACCCUUCCAAUCCAGCAAACAUCGAUCCUUAUGACCAAGUGUAAGUUUGUACCACUCUUUGUCUAGAUGCAUUUGACAGGUAACGUAACCAGAAUCUAGUGUCAAAUUGGCACUCUUACUCUGAAAAAGUUGGCAGAUGAUGUAACCAAAAUCUGGUGGCAAAUUUGCAGCAAUCUGAGAUGCAUAUUAUCAGGUGUAAAAAUUACAUGCACAUGAAUACCAAACCACGUUUUUCUAGCACUCGUAUUUGUGCGUUUAAUACUAAGGUGAUGACCAAAUACCCAGCUUUUGCACUUAAAUUUCCGGUUGGAACUGUUAAACUUGCUCUGCACUGUGUAGAUCAGUGCUUGCAAAUUCGCUCUCUGCAAACAUACAAGCGGUUCACUUUGUUCAAUUGAAUAACUUCAUGAUCCUAUGAGUGAUGUUUCCCCAGUCAUGUUGAACAAGAGGAGUUAGCUGAGCAUUAUACUAAGUUUCAACUCGUCUUGUACAACUCAAAAUUUCAAGUGGCAUAACUGCCUGGUAAUGAAUUAUUUAUUAGACAAUGUCAAAAUUACAACCUUGAAAGGCACAUGGCCAUGUGGCCUUUCCUCUAAAGUCUCUAUCAGAUUUUGUGCUUUUGUCUAUGCGCAUAGCUUUCUGAAACAAGAUAUCUACUAAAUCUAUCUGUGGAGCAGUAUAUACACUUCCAGCAGCUGUUCUUUAGGUAUUGAUCACCUCUGCACACUGGGAUGUCAACUCCAAGCUGUCCUAGCCAUCUCUAGUCUCGUGAAUUCCAAGCUCCAGCACCGAAGACUUCUUCAAUCACACUGGACGUCGGAAGAAAAUCUUCAUCCUUGGGGCAGGUCAAACAACCAACAUCCCAUUCUUUGGAACUACAUGGCUCUAAAAAAAGUUCAUUACCAGUACUGCUGCUCAUACUACUAAGGUCGCUAGUUAUAUGUUUUGUAUUUUGAUUUCCACUUAUGUCAGAAAGGACUUGGUCAAGUGGCUGAUGCGCUUGAUCUGAACUGCAGUUAUCAGGCAUGUCAAUCGGACACAUGUCUGACUCUUUACUGACACACUUACUGCCAUCCAGGUUCAGCCUUAUAUUAUCUUCUGAAGCUUCCUCAGCAUUGAUGUCAUCCUUGUAUUCACAGAGAUUGUCUUCAAAGAUCUCAUUAUGAUCAUCUUCCUCGGCAGGUGAUUCAACCAGAGAGUCAUCAUACCCAUUUAUUUUUUCUAUUACUUCAUCAGCAGAAACAUUAGUUCCUUCCCAUUCAUCAUUGUCGCUGUCAAUACUCAACACAUCAAUUCUGUUCUGUUCAGCACGUCUUCGUAACAUAAAGACAUUAAAAUAAUAGCUAACUAUUUCCUUCUUGGUCCUAGAAGGAAAUUCAAUAGCUAAAUGGUUCCAAAAGUUCCUCCCCAGUGAUGCAGGAUGGGAAAAUACAACCUCAGUAAAUAUUUCCUCUUCCUCCUCGCUCCAUUUUUCAGCCACUACCUCUCCCACUUCCAAAAAACCCAACUUGACAAAAGCCUCCUGGCCAAGGGUUUUCCUGAGUUUUUCUCGUGCUUCAGUGAUGUGUUGCCGAACACAUCUAACGGAUCCCACAUCAUCACAGGAACAAUCAAUUCUUCCAUCUCCAAGUUUCUCCACAGUGUCUUCAGACAUGUCUGAUCUAGGCAUGGGAACUAGACAAGAACCAGAAAAUUGCCUCUCAUGGUCUAAAUGAUUACCAAUAUCUGACAUGAGAGAUUGGGAUGAACGGUUGAAGACUUCAAAAGCAUCUCCUGAUGAACUGGACAACUUUUCAUCAUCACACCCACACCAUUCAGGUAUUUCUGCUUGAAAACCACUGCCAAUGGGGACCAAUUUCCGAGGAGGAUAUUCCAAAAGAGAAGAAUAAAUAUCUCCGGUAUGAAAAAUGGUCCUUGCUGGAAAGUCAAGAUUAUAAUGGUCUGGAGACAGCAAUAUGCAAGGUGCCUCCGACCUGACAUCUUCUUCACAGGUAGUGCUUGUAGCCCAGGAAGAGUUGGAAAUGGAGCAAGCCAGACUUCUAUCUAUUUCUUUCUCAACAUAACUUUGGAAUUCAGCAAGAUUGCUGUCUACAAGACUUUCAUCCCUUUCACCUUUCUUUUUAUCGCAAGCAGCCCCAUCUUCACCUACCCACAUAUUAAGACUGGUAAAAAACAUAAAAGUACUGAAAGAUAAGCAUAAAUAUCGUACAAAUAUUAGCAAGCAUCUAAAACAGAUAGAAGUAAGAAUUUAGCUUCAGAAAACAGUACUGAACUCUCCUUAGUGGGUCCAUUCUUAAGUAGAAGAAUAAGAGCUCAACCCACAGAGACAGAAGAAAUUCAUAGAGUAAAAGCUCUGAACUAAUGUCCAAUGCCAUGCAGGUUUCUUGUUAAACCAAGGCAUAAAUUAGCCAAAAACAUUUUGGCCAGAAGAACUUUAUCAAUCACUAUCUUCUAUACAAGUAGCUAUGUGCAAAAAAGGCCACAAAGAACCAAGACAUUCAAUGCAGAUUUUCAAUAAUAUGGAAAACUGCUGAGAAGCUUUAGUUCAGAAGCAGAUAAACUACUCUCAUUUGGUUCUAGACAAUAAUACAGUGAUACAAGCAGUCCCCUACAUCAAGCAUCUUCAAACGUUGAUAGAGACUUCUUCGCACCUAA